rnacentral:lncRNA from 1 species
AACCUACCAAAUCAACUGAAAGUAGAAAUGUCAAAAGUAGAUACAUAUGUGGUGAAGCGUCUGAAUGAAAGCAAUUCACUAGAGCUCUUUAGCUAUCACGCCUUCAAAAAAUCAAAGCCUCCCGGAAGAUACUUAGCUCUGUCUAAAAGCGGUAGGACAGAUGUGUCAUUCUGGAAAGUAAAAUUGGAAAAAGUUAAAAAAAUUCCAAUGGAAAAUAUCCAAAAGAUCCUUCAACUGAGUUACGAUGAGUUAGAAGAUGACACACAUAAGGCUAUUUUUCUUGAUAUUGUUUUCUUCUUCCUGGGAAAGAAGAUAGAUGAGGCUGUUGAUGUAUUCAGAUCUUGUGAUUUUUUUCCGGAGUGUGGGAUACCAAUUCUAGUUGAAAGAUGUCUACUAACUAUUGAUUUCGAUAACAGGCUUCGAAUGCAUAAUCUUAUACAAGACAUGGGAAGGAACGUUAUUCAUGAACAAUCCAAACAUGGCAGGUGCCGUCGCUUGUACUUGGAUCAUGAAGAAGCAUCUCAGGCUUUGCCAAAUCAGGUAAACAAAAUGCUAAAUAUUUUAUUCUUCUCUAUGAUAUAAGAUUCAUGCUUUUUCUUAAAAUAUAAUUAUUUGACUGAAUUAUUAAAUUUAUAUUCUGAAAAAUUACUAUUAACUAAUAUUUAAUUUAUAUGUUUUUAACCUUAUGCAAAAUGUGAUUCUGAGUACAACUUCUCACUUUUGCUACUAUCUGUGAUUGAACAUCUAGGACAUGGAUAAAAUUGAAGCCCUCCUCAUAGAUUGUACACUGUCUACCAACAAAUACUGCCAUGCCGAGCUAUUUGAAAGGUUGCCAAACUUGAGAUUAUUAAAAUUAGUUGAUGUCUAUGAUAUCAAAGGAAAUUUCAAAACUUCAUUUCAUGAGUUGAGGUGCAUAAGUUGGCAUGGUUGUCCUUGGAUGCAUUUACCUUAUAGCGUUCGCAUGCAAAAGCUUGUUUUCUUGGAUAUGCCAUUUAGCAGACUUGAAAGAUUGUGGAAGAUUGCUAAGGUAUGAAAUCAAAUAUCUUAACUAUUUCUCUCUCCUUGCUCAUGUGUUAUAUAUACUAGCUUUAUAUGCCGGUACUUCACACAUGUUAAGUUUUUUUAUAUGAUAAAUUCUCGAAAACAACUAACUUAAUGAAUGAAUUAACCAAAAAACAUUGUUUUACACCUUGUCAUACAUUAUGUUUCAUGGAUCAUAAUCGGCUUUAGUAUCACACAUUCAUCAUAUGUAGUUCAUGGCUAAUCACGUACAGAAAACUUAAAAAAGUAUAUUAAUGAAUAAUCCAAAUUUCUUAACAUUGAGCAAAGUACUCCUUCUGUUUGGAUAUAAUAGUUGUUUGACUUUUUCGCACGAGUUUUGACCGCACACUUAAAAUUAUUAUUUUUAAUUUUUUUUGUGAAUAAAAAUAUAUCACUAAUAUUUUUAUUUACAAAAAAAUAAAAAAAAAAAUUUGGGUGUGCGGUCAAAAUACUUAAAUAUGCGUGAAAAAAAUCAAAAGACUAAUAUAUCCAAACAGAGGGAGUAUGAAAAUAUCCGAACCAACCUAUUCAAAGACUCAACGAAGCAAAAUUUGUAGGAUUUAUAGACCUACAAAGUAUUAAAAUAUGGUGCGGUGGUUAUGCACGGUUAGUCAUUCUUUGGCUCUGCUAAUUUUCUUCUCGGAGUAGUGUGUAUGUCUUUUGUUUAGAUGUUAAGUAGUGUCCAGCCUGUGCUUUGAGGAAAACCCAGCGGUGAUCCAAAAAUUCAAAUUUAAAGAGCGGUGAUUCAAAUUUGGAUCAGUGUAUUUAAAUUUGGAUCACCACUGUUCAUUGAUCUAAAUUCGGAUCACCUAAUUUAUUAUAAAUUAAUUUGUGAUUAUUAAUAUUUAAUUAAUAAUAGGGAAAAUAGAUUUUUUCGCCACCCAACUUAUUAUGUAUUUAGAAACUUACCACUAAACUAUGAUUUUUUUCUUAUUGUUACUAAUGUUAGGUUCGGAUUUUUUUUGGUCACUAACGUUAGGUUUGGAUUUGAUUAUUAAUAUUAUGUUAUUUUUUUAGCAUUAUUAAAAUAUAGUGGUAGUCUACAAUAUUAUAGGGAUAUGAUAUAUCUAUAUCUUUAUAUAUAAUACUCUAUAUGUCUCCUAGGUAGUUUACUUUGGAGGCAAGAGUUUGACACGCAUUCUAGAACUUCUAAAAGAUUUAGUUAUAUAAAUUUAUUUAUUUUCCUGAAUAAAACUUAUGAUUGUCUAUUUUCUAUAUUAUAUAUUGUUUUAUAAAAAUUAAGGUUAAAUGUCAUCUGUAAUUAUUUAUACUAUUGUACAAAAAUAAGGACGAAUACUAUAACAAAAAUAGACAAUAGACAAUUAUAAAAAUUCUUAACCUUGAUUUGAGGUUUAUAUGAUAUCUAAAUUGGUGGUUGAACUCCACAAAAAUUUAGUAUCACUUGACUCAAUUUUACUUUUAGAAUUGAUUGUAGAUGGUAAAUUGUUUGAAGUCAUUGAUGAUUUAAUGAAUAUUUACAAUUCUAAUUAUAAUUCUUCCCGAUUUUACCGCUCAUUUAUGUAAUUUUUACUCCCUUCGUCCAUCUCAUUUAUUUAUAGUUCUUUCUCACUCCUUGGCAUGUAUUUUGAGCUUCCCACUUCUUAUAAAACAUAGGGGCCGUUUGGCUGUGUUUAAAAUAAGUAUUUCUUGCUUAAAGUAAAAAAGGUGAAGUAGAAGUUAAAAGUUACUUAAGACUUAUAAGUGAUUAAAGUGUUUGAGAAAAAAGUAGAAGUCAUGAAAUAAAAGCUAGGAAUCCUAGUUUUUUAUAAGUGCUUCUCAACAUCUUACACAAACAGUACAAAUAAAUGCUUCUAACUUAAAACUCCAGAAACGAGGCUUAAAAGCCCCACCCAAACACCCCCAUAGUUCCGUUACUUAAUUUUGAGAUUUUCUUUUUGUGUAUAAAAUUCAAACGUUAAAUUUUUAUUUAGAAAAAAAUUAAAAUAAUUUAUGAAACUAAAUCUUUUAGGAGUCUUAAAAUAUUUGUCAAACUCUCGUCCUCCAAGAUAAACUACCUAGUACACAUAUGUAGUCCUACAUAUAAAGAUAUAGACACAUAUUAGAUUACUAUAAUAUUGCCGACGACCACUACAUUAUAAUAAUGCUAAAAAGAAUAAUAUAGUGUUAAUAAUCAAAUCCGAACCUAAUUUUAGUGGCAAAAAAAAGUCCAAACCUAACAUUAGUGACAAAAAGAAAUAAAAUUAUAGUUUAGUGGUAAGUUUCUAAAUACAUAAUAAGUUGGGUGGAGAAAAAAAUCUAUUUUCCAAUAAUAAUUUAUAAUAAAAUUAAUGUUUUAGUAAAAACUUACAAUAAUAGAAAAGCAAAUUUCAUAGAUGACUACAUGCAUUAUUAUGCACAAUAUGAUAAUUGAAGAUGAACGUGAGUUAAGUGCACCAAUUGAAGAUCGAUUCGAAGUUCGAUCCAGAAGUUGAGACGUUCGAUCGAUGAAAGUGUUCAAUUCCGAGAAUUUCUAAGCCGACAUAAAAAAAUAAAAAAUAAAGAGGCUCAUAUUGCACUUAGAGAUUUAUUAAUUGAGCAUCCGUGAGAAGAAUAUACUAAUUCGGAAAAUUAGUAUGUAUCAAUGUAUUUUGUUUAUUAAUUCGAAAUAUUAGCUGCUUCUCUUUUUUAUGAAAUCAACAAGCACAUUAUUUUGUUUAAUAAUGUUGACAAUUAAGUAAAUAAUUUACCUACUUUUACAUAUGUUACAAAAUAAUUUAUUUAUUUAAUUAAAUAUAAUAUAAGUAGUUAAUAAUGAUUAAACAUUAAAUUUAAGAUUAUAUAGUUUAAUAUAAAAUUUAUGUAAUAUAAUAUACAAAAGGUAAAAUGGAUCAAAAUUUGGAUCACAUUGCUCGAGUUGAUCAGAAAUUUAGAUCAGUUAUAAUCCAAAUUUAGAUUUUUGGAUAACAAUUGUUGGAGAUGACCUUAGUUGGUUCUUAUCUUUAAUAUAAGCUGGAGAUAUAUGUGACUUAGGGUUCGUUGUUACUUUUGUCUUCCUGCCCAUGAGAAAAAUUAUCUUAUAUCAAUGAAUCUGCUUUAAACAAAAUAUGUAUUUAAAAAGAUACACAUGUAUUUAAGCAUAAUUAUUAAUAAAAUUAUAUAAUUAUAAUAGAAUAAUAAGAAGCAAUAUUAGGCGAUGCAUAUAUUCAAUUUGAUCCGGCCUUAAUCCCACGAUGCUUUAUUCAAAAGGGAAAAUUAAGGAAUUUUUUCACCUUGAAAUUCUUCGUCCACCUUCCUGAUUUAAUUUUUGUUAUUUCAUAUUGUAAUAUAAUUUAUUAAAAACAAUUUUAUAUUAUUUUUUAGUCAUACGAUAAUUAAAUGUUAAUUCAUAUUUGAGUAAUUAAUUCAUUAAAUUUAAAAUAUAUUAUGUUGUAUAUAGGUUAAUUUUAAAAUAUUUAUAAUUUUUCACAAAUUCUUGAGAGGAAUUUUGAUUCCAAUCGAAAGGGGUUGAGUAGCAAACUUAUACAUUAUCAAUAUCAAGACGAAUUCGAAAAUCGAAAAGAUGCUGAAUACAUAUUUUCUUAAAAAUUAUAUCUAUAUAUUUGUUAUAAAAUUGUAGAAAUGAUAUCGAAAUAAGUUAUACUUGAAUUUGUAUAUUAACAAAAUUAUUUUCAUAUGUAAAAGAAUAAUCAUUCGGUGCUUUGUACGGGUAAAACGCUAGUUACUCCUCUCCCCGUAUCUUUCAUUUUCUAAACAUUUUCUUUUUGAGGACGUCCCACCAAUUGUAUACAUUCCAAAAGUAGUAAGAAUUUAUAAUAUGAAAAUCCAAGUACAUCCACUACUUUUUUUUACUACACCUACUUUAUACUCUCUUCGUCUCUUUUUAGUUGUCACAUUUCUAUUUUAUUGGUCAAAUUGACUAAUUUUUGACUAAAAAUUAUAAGUCACUCUUUCAUUAUUUUAAAAAACUGAAAAUUACAUGUUAAAGUAGAUUAAAAGUUAUUUCCGGGAACAUAUUUAUUUAAUCAAUUGAUAAAAUAUUACUCCAUUCGUCCCACCAGAUUCUUUACGGUUUCUUUUUUGGGAUGUCCCAUCCAAUUCUUACAUUCCAAAACUUACCAAAAAUAUUCAAUUGAUAUCACCACUUCCCAACUUUUCCUCCCUUUUCACACUACUUUUACUCUCUUUUCACACUACCUUUACUCCACUGUCUCUCUUUUAUUCAUUAAAAAUUGAUGGGUCUCACCACUUCACCCACUUUUCUUUCUCUUUUUUCACUACUUUAUACAUAUUUCUUAACUUCCGUGCCCAAACCAAACGUAAAGAAUUGGCUGGGACGGAGGGAGUAAUAAAUUUCAGUCAAACUUUGUUCAAUUUGACCGGCACAAAAUCGAAUAUAACUACUAAAAAGAGACGGGGGAGUAUAUUAAAUAUUAGUUGGUCCCACCACUUUACUCACACUACACCCACUUUAUACAUUAAAUAUUAGUUGAUCCCACCACUUUACCUAUUUUUACUCCCUCUAUUUCAUAUUACAUGUCCACUUUUGAUAACUAAAAAUUGUUUCAAAUUAGUUGUCCCAUUUCAACUUUCAAUGCAAAGUAGUCAAUAGUUGUAUUUCCUAGAUGAAGUUUAUAACACAUCCUACUAAAUUAUAUUUCCUAGAUCAAAUAUAUCCCACAUAUUAUACUUGGUCAAUGCAAUAAAUACAAUAAUAAAUGAAGGUUUUCUACAAAAAUUAGUUUUUUUUAAUAUCUGUGAUUUGUUCAAAAAUGGACAUGUAUUAUGAAACGGAGGAAGUAUUACUUUUCUUCACUAAAUUUAUAAUUUUCCUACGUCCGUGUCACACCCCAUAUGUAUAUAACUCAUUAUGUAGUUAUAUAAAAAUGGAAUUAUAAUAUGGAUUAAAAUUUUAUUUUUUUGGAGGUCGGGCUCGGGGCUUGUAUUAAGUUCUAAAACAAACUAGCCCUUAUUUCUGAUGGACAGUUUUGAAUCUGAAUGCUUGUGUGAAUCUAAAACGACUUCCCAAACUCAUUACACAAUUGACUACUCUGAGUUAGUUUUUUUUUUUUUAAGAUCUACAUACACGUAGAUUAAUUGUAUCGAAAUACAAUAAACCGCAUCAGGGAUUUCUUUCUUUCAAGAAAAUUUAUUAUCUAACCGAAAGUCAUGCAAGCAUAACUCCGGACGCUUAGACAAUAAAGUUUAAAUGAAUAAGAAAAAAAAAUCCAUAAGUCUCGUAGCUUCCAGAGUACCCUGAAAAAACAAAUCAAACAAAACAUAAAUCAACAUACAAGAAAAUCACACACAUAUAAAUAUAAUUAAAGUAAAAUAGAAAAUCUAAUAAAAAGCAAAACAAAAUAUAUAUAUAUAUAUAUAUAUAUUAAAAAUAGAUAGAAAAUAAAAUAAUAUAGAAAUAUUAAUUAAUUUCUAACCAAAGGAAAAUCCUUUGGUUAGACACAUAAAAAUUAAUAUUUUUUUUGGCACAAUAAAAAUUAAAAUUUAAGUGAGGAGUAAAAACAAAGGAUAAAAUAUAAUUAAAUAUAAUGAUAAUCAAAAUGGUCAAUAAGCCAUUAAAAGUGGCAUGUAUUAUGUGUGAUUUGUUUUUUUUUAAUAUGUGUGAUUUGUUCAAAAAUGGACAUGUAUUAUGAAACUGAGGAUAGUUAGUUUUUUUUAAUAUGUGUGAUUUGUUCAAAAAUGGACAUGUAUUAUGAAACGGAGGGAGUAUUAUUUUUUUUCACUAAAUUAUAAAUUUUCCGACCUCCGUGUCACACCCCAUAUGUAUAUAACUCAUUAUGUAGUUAUAUAAAAAUGGAAUUAUAAUAUGGAUUAAAAUUUUAUUCUUUUGGAGGUCGGGUUCGGGGCUUGUAUUAAGUUCUAAAACAAACUAAAAAAGCUUACAAACUAGCCCUUAUUUCUGAUGGACAGUUGCCAUCCUUGCGUCACUUGAAUUUGGAAGGAUGCAAAUACUUGAAGGCAUUGCCCCACUCAAUUGGACGCUUGACUGCUCUAUACCAUUUGAAUCUGAAUGAUUGUGUGAAUCUAAAACGACUUCCCAAACCCAUCACACAAUUGACUACUCUGAGCAGUUUGAAUAUGAGGAAAUGCAGCAAUCUGAAACUAUUGCCGGAGCAGUUGGGUGAUUUGAAAUGCUUAAAGAUGCUUGAUGUAAGUUUAACAGCAAUUGAGCAACUGCCAGAUUCAAUUGCUCACUUGAAGAAAUUAGUUUAUUUCAAGUUGGAAGGUAGCAAGCAGCUUAGAAAGUUACCUGAGCAAUUUGGGAACAUGGAAGCCUUGGAGGAAUUUAAUGCAUGUCACAGUGGAAUCGAACAACUGCCAGACUCGUUUUCAAACCUGCUUAAAUUGAGAUCUCUGAAUCUGAGAGGAUGUUCAGAGCUGAAGAGAUUGCCUGAGCAGUUGGGGAAGAUGCAGUGUCUAGAAAGGCUGGAAGCAUCUUAUACAGCAAUUGAAGAAUUACCGGAUUCUAUUGGACUACUGCCUAGGAUACAAGUGUUGAAUUUCGGUGAAUGCAAGAAGCUUAGAAAGUUACCUGAGCAAUUUGGGAACAUGGAAGCCUUGGAGGAAUUGGAUGCAGGUGGCAGUGCAAUCGAACAACUUCCAGACUCGUUUUCAAACCUGCUUAAAUUGAGAUCUCUGAAUCUGAGUUACUGUUCAGAGCUGAAGAGAUUGCCUGAGCAGUUGGGGAAGAUGCAGUGUCUAGAAGAGCUAUAUGCAUCUGAUACAGCAAUUGAAGAAUUACCGGAUUCUAUUGGACUACUGCCUAGGAUAACAGCGCUGAAUUUCGGCGACUGCAAGAAGCUUACAUAUGUUCCAAAUAGCAUCUGCAAUCUUAAAUCACUUGAAUAUUUAAAUCUUUUCAUCGGUGAGGACAUAAUAAAAUUUGAGUUGAUUGAGGCUGUGAAUGAUAUGAAGUUGGAGUACCUGAGUCUGAGUUGUAAUAUAAGAGUUUGGUUGCCCAUCAUUCUAAGCUUCUCUUCUCCGAGAAUAUUAAGUCUCCGUGAUGAGUGCGGGAGUCCCUCCCCAACCAAACCCUUUAGUUUCUUUCAGCUUUUCAACCUUCAAGUACUUACUUUGACUAACAGUACAAGUCACGGGUCCUCCUUUCCCGAACUACCACUCAAUUUAAAAGAGUUGAUCGUAGAUAAGCACGCUUCACUGGAACAAGUACCUGAUUUGUCCUACCUCAAACACUUGAAUGAGAUGUCCAUCAUCAGAUGCUGCAGCCUUCAAUCUCUCCACAAACUUCCACCUCAUGUUGAAUUCCUUACAGUUGAAGAUUGUACAAGCCUACAAGACUUCCCAGAUGUGUCAAUGUUGAGCGAUUUAAAACGACUGAAUGUUUUGCGCAACGGCAGCAAUUUAAAAGUCAGUUUAGAGAAGAAUCACCUUCAGGUUUGUCGUUCGUGGUCUUUCUCUUCCAAUAAUACUCUUUGUACAUAUUAAAUCCCUCUCCAUUUCUCUUUGUAUCUUACAGCUAGGAAGAGGGUAUAACAAAGCAUUUAGCGCUGCUCUACAAAACAGGGAAAUUGCAGAGUGGUUCGACUAUAAAAACAGGGAAGGCUGCACACUAUCUUUUCAUGUUCCUCCAAACUUGGGAGAUCACUUCGUGGGUGUCGCCUUCUGGGUUGUUUAUAAAUGCUCCUAUGAGGGAUGGUCAGAAGUUGAAGCUGUUAUUACAAAUAUAACAGAGGGUAUCACAAUCAGAUAUACUAUAUCAUAUACUCAGCCGCCUUAUGAUAGAAUAAGUGACGCACAAUCCACGGUAAAUUGGAUAACGGCAGAGGACAUCCCAAUAAAGAGCGGAGACAAAAUUAUGAUUUCUUUUGAGGUGAUGGGCCUUUGUCCUGGAACAGAAGUGAAUAUGUGCGGGGCUCACAUACUAAAACAGCCUAACAUCAUAGCCAGAUAGAUACUCCCUCCGUCCCCCUGAAUUGUAUACAUUGGGGGACGGGGACGCGGCACGGACUUUAAUGCUCCUGUAAAGUGUAGUUGUGUAAUUUAUUUUUAAAAUUUUCUUUUUCUGAAUUAAAGUUUGGAUGUUAUAUUUUUAUUCAGAAAAAGAAAAUCUCAAAAAUACAUUACGGAACUAUAUUUUAUAAGAGCAUUGAAAUGCGUGUCGAGCAGUUGAAAAGAAACGUAUACAAUUAAAUGGGACAGAGGGAGUAUUAUUAAUUUUGACUUUUUAAGAAAAUGUUGUAUAAUUAUAAAUCUUAAAAUUAGAUGAUUCAUCUGGAUAAAAACUCUACUAAAUAUAAUAUUUAUUCGUGUGUAUAUGUUUGUGGGUCGGGUGUGUGUUAAACAAUGGGUCGUGUGUAUAUGUUUAUUAAUCUGUAUUUGAUGUAUGAGUGAAAUUCUGAACCAAUAAUAAAUCUGAAUAAUUGUUAUAUCUGAACUAUAUUUUCUGAAUAAUCGAAAAUAUGGAUAAAUUAUAAAUAUGAUAUUUGAAUGAGUGACGACGUUUGCUAAAAAAAUUAUUUUUAAUGAUAAUAUAUAAUAUACUUUUUUAUAAGAUAAAAAAAUAUUUUUGCAGUUGAAAAGAAUUUAUAAAAUGUUAAUAAAGAAUUUAUAGUUCAAAUUAAGAACUACCUUAUGUUAUUUAAUAAAAAUUAAAAUAUUAAAUAGAGUAACAAAUAUAAUAAAUCAAAAAUUUAAAGAAUAUUAAAAUUACAGUAUUCAAAAUUAUGCAUAACACGGUUUAUUACGUACAACACAUACGAAGGCGCAUUUUUAAAGUGGCUCAUUCAGACAAUUUAAGUGUCAUUCAGAUGUAAUAACAGACUCAUAACAAACAAUCUGGAUGAUAGUGACCCACUUGCAAGUUACCUAUGAGUUAAAUUAUGUUUAAACCAUUUAACUCCACUCUAUUAUAUUCACUUCAUAAUAUGUUGUUAUAUCAAAGAAAUUACGAAAACGAAUAGAGCAUUCCUUCAUAUUUUGGAGGGUUUGAACUAUUAUUAGAAAUGAUAGAAAUAAAAUGGCGAAAGGAAUGAAAUCACUAAACAUUCAACUAAAUUAUAGUGCAAAAUUCAUUCCAUUCCCUACAUCGUCAUUCACACCAACCAAACACCGACUUUCAAAAUUUUUGCUGGUUCACAAUUGCUAACUAUAGAAUUGCUGGAAUGUUUACAGGCUUCCACUAGAGGAUUGUAUCCCUGACGAGGAGGUGCAAAUUAUCUGUUACAAUGGCAUAGCUGGUAAUUUGUUACAAUGGCAUAGCUUGUAAUGUGAGAAUCGCUAUAUUCUGCCGUGACAAGAUGCCAUCAUCCAUAUCAUAAAACUUCUAAUUAUACAUUCAAACUCCAUUUUUUUCUUAAGGGCAAAAAUUUAGUAGUCUCCGCAACUAUUACAACAGUGAGGGCCCUGAGAUGCAAUCGAACAACUGCCAGACUCGUUUUCAAACCUGCUUAAAUUGAGAUCUCUGAAUCUGACUGGAUGUUCAGAGCUGAAGAGAUUGCCUGAGCAGUUGGGGAAGAUGCAGUGUCUAGAAUCGCUAGAUGCAUCUUCUACAGCAAUUAAAGAAUUACCGGAUUCCAUUGGAUCACUGCCUAGCAUAAAUUUUUUGAAAUUUGGUGAAUGUAAGAAGCUUACAUAUGUUCCAAAAAGCAUCUGCAAUCUUAAAUCACUUAAAUAUUUAGAUAUGUUCAUCAGUGAGGACAUAAUAAAAAUUGAGUUGUUUGAGGGUGUGAAUGAUAUGAACUUGGAGGAGCUGAGUCUGAGUUGUAAUAUAAGAGUUGGUUUGCCCAUGAUUCUAAGCUUCUCUUCUCUGAGAUCAUUACAUCUCCGUGACGAGUGCGGAAGUCCUUCACCAACCAAACCCUUUAGUUUCUUUCAGCUUUUCAACUUUAAAGAACUUUGGUUGACUGACUGUACAAGUCAUGGGUCCUGCUUUCCCGAACUACCACCGAAUUUAGAAUGGUUGUAUGUAGAAAACCACGCUUCACUGGAACAAGUACCUGAUUUGUCCUACCUCAAACACUUGAAGAUUAUGGACAUAAUGAGAUGCUGCAGCCUUCAAUCUCUCCACAAACUUCCACCUCAUCUUCUACAACUUACAGUUGAGGAUUGUACAAGCCUACAAGACUUUCCAGAUCUGUCGGAGUUGAGAGAUUUAAUGUAUCUGACAGUUUUGCUCAACAGCAGCAAUUUAAUAGUCAGUUUAGAGGAGAAUCACCUUCAGGUUUGUCGUUCGUGGUCUUUCUCUUCCAAUAAUACUCCUCGUACAUAUAAAAUCCAUCUCCAUUUCUCUUUUUAUCUUACAGCUAACAGAAGAUAACGAUACAUUUCUAGCAACUGUACCCAACAAGGAAAUAGCAGAGUGGUUCGACUAUAAAAACAGGGAAGGCUGCACACUAUCUUUUCAUGUUCCCCCAAACUUGGGAGAUAACUUCCUGGGUCUCGCCUUCUGGGUCGUUCGUAAAGGAUUCUCACACAUUGAAGCUGUUAUUACAAAUAAAACAGAGGAUACGACGACAACUACCCUGCUUAAUACUUCUAAUUAUGGUAGAAUGGGUGUUGACUUGGAGUUGGAAUCAGCUAUCCUUUGCAUAAGGUCAGAUGACUUCUCAAUAAAGAAGGGAGACAAAAUUAUGAUUUCUUUCGAGGUGGACUCUUUCUCUGAUACAGAACUGAAAAUGUGCGCCGCUCACGUACUAAAACGCCCUUCCAAGAAGAGCCUUUCAUGAUAGCCAAAAGAAAUGUAAUAUAAUUUAUUUUUUAGGAAAAUGUUGUAUAAUUACAAAGCUUGAAAAUAUGUUCAAGUAUUUGUAAAAUUUAGCGACUAUUAGAUUUAUUAUUAAAACGUGCUUUAACAAUUCAAUUUAAAUUUUUUUGAUUAAUCAUUUAAUAUUAUUCUAUACCAAAUAUAAUAGAUUUUUUAAAUAAUAUAUUCAAUUAUUUUUUUAAAAAAAUAUAUUGAUUAUUUAUUUUGAUUAAUUUCCAAUUAUCUUCACAAUGAAGUCUAAUUUUUGAUUUUUAUAAUGUCAAAUUAUUAUAUUAUAUAUCUAACAGGGGAAUAAUGAUCAAACAGGGAUGAUGCGCGCUUUUAUUUUUAAUAAUCAAAGAGCAAAGUUUAUAAUUUUAGGCCAGAAUCAGAAAAUUAUAAUACAUAAUAUAAUAAUAUAUGCAUGACUUUACUAUAUUUGUUUUUUAUUAUAUUUUAUUGUUAUAUUAAUAAUACACUAUAUUUAUUUCAGUUGUACGCCGAUUAUUUUUAAUUAUAUAUUUAUGUGACAUAUUAUAAUUAUUCAAAAAAGAAAGGAAAAACUUAUAUGCAUGUAUUAACUUGGAAUAUAAUAAAGAAAUUGCUAUUAUAUCAAUAAAGAAGUAGGUAAAAUAUUUCUUAUGAUUUUCGACAAAUUCAAGUGGAAUUUAAAACUCUUCUGUGUUGUCCACUGUUAUUUUCAGCAGAUAGAUUGUGUGUCUGCGUAAAAACAAAGACCUGGUGUCCGCGGAUAUUUUCGGUGGAUACAUAAAAUAUUUUCCUUUUGUCUCAGCCGUUGGAUCGUCGAUCCAGGUUAGACACAGUGUGUUGUGUAAACGUUUCCCGACAAUCAAUUGUCAGGGAACAAGACCCAUUAUACAUAUAUAUUUUAUGUGAGUAAAAUUCAAAGUUGUGGUCAAAGUUUACACUCAUUUUCAAAAAAUUGGCUAGAGUUUCAAAUUUUCAAAAAGAUGGCCAAACUUUGUUUUAGCUUUUUAAAAAAAUGGCUCCCGUUAAAUAUCACUAACGGAAGUAACGGACACAGGGGUAAAAACGUAUUUUCUCAGACCCUCCCAUGUUCCUUCUCACACCAGUCUCCUCUCUUCUCACACCACCCUUCUCCACCCCUCCCUCGUCUCUUUCUUGUCUGCACAGGCGGCACCACCACAGUCGGCCACCCACCACCGAACAACAAAACACUCAUGUCUCCUUUCCCCUGUUCUACUACUACCGUCGCGGAUCCGCCUGCUUCUGGCGAAGUCUGACCCCGACUCACCUAAAUCACAAUCCAACUCGACUGACCACAACCCAUGCUAUCAACUCCGGCCACCCCGAAUUCAACAGCCGCCGCGCCGCACAAAACACUCUCCCAGACACACGCCAAUUACAUGCUGUAGCACACACAUCAAGCACCAUCCAAUCGUUAAUUAACAACAGAUUUGUCAAACCCUAACCCUAAAGUCACAGGCGGUGGAGUUCGGGGGAAAUCGGAGAAACGUGAUUUCGAUUAAAUCGGAGGUUCAAUACUUGCUUGAUUGUGUGUUUUGGUUGUGUUUAUGGUUGAAUCGGUGGCUAGAGGUGAGGUUUUGUUGAUGGUGGCUGGUUUAGCCGGCCAUUCGGGCGGGCCGGGGCGGUUCGGGCCGGUUCAGACGGUUUCCGAACCGUCACUGGUGGAACCGUAACCGGCCCGUCUAGGUUGGCGGUCCGUGCCGGGCCGGGCUGAAGAAAUUGGAAACCGGAACCGUCUUAUACGGAUUGUACGGGUUUGGCGGUUAAGCGGGUUAAACGGUUCGAGGCGGGUCGCGGUUCAGGCGGUUCAUGCCGCGGUUUAGCAGACAGGCCAGUAGUCACUACUCACUGGUCAGUACACAUAGACUUGCAAGUACACAUAGAGUUAGUCACAGUAGGUGAACAAAUGAUUGUGUUUUUUUUUUGUUUUUUAGUGCAAGUGGUUUGUUUUCCAUUUAAGUGUGCAACGGAUCUAAAUUUUGCAAUGAAAUUUAAUUUUAGAAUUUAAUUGUUUAAUUUAAUUAAUAAUAAAUUAUUAUAAACUAAUAAAUAAAUGGUAAAAAGAGGGUGGUACCUCUUAUAAAUUUUAUAAAUUGGAAAAAUAUUUUACAAAUAAUUUGAGAGGACUCCUCUCUAAAAAAUUCAACGGAACAAACCAUCCUCGUAUUGGUUGCUAGGGUCCGAAUUAUAUAAUUCAGUGAUGACAACCUUAUAUUUAAUCGCUUUAUUUAAUAACUUAUGUGUUGAAUUCCACCGUGUAGGUGUGUCGAUAUCCCAUUUUUCAGCUCUUAAACCAUUAUCCUUACACAAUUUCUUAUAUCUAGAUCGGAAUUUACUUCCAAUACGUAAGUACUUAACUAUUUUCCUAAUUGGGUCUAAUAAUUUUGUUAAUUGUGAGAUACCUUUUUGAGCCGACAAAUUUAUGAUGUGAGCACAACAUCUAACGUGUAAGAAUUGACCAUCUAAAAUUAAAGGAAUAUCGGACCUAAUAUAAUCUAUGCAUUUAUUAUUAGCAGAAGCAUUAUCUAAAGAAAUUGUGAAUACCUUGUUAAACAAAUUGAAUUCGUUAAUUGUGUCUAAUAUCCUUUGUUUAAUAUUAUAUCCGGAGUGUGACUCAUCCAUUACAUCGAAAGUAAUAAUUCUUUUUUUUAUCACAUAAUUAGAAUCUAUCCAAUGAACGGUAACACAUAUAUAAGGGUCACCUUGACUAGAAGUCCAACAAUCACUAGUAAGCGAGACCAUGCCAUUAAAAAUACGAAAGAAUUCAAUUAAUUCUCUCCUAGCAAGAUAAUAUUGUUUUUGGGUGUAUCGUUUAAGGGUGUUUCUUGGGAUUUUCCUAAAAGCCGGAUUUAUUAAAUUUCUCAUCAUGUGUUCUAAGUUAGUGCUUUCACCAUGUGAAAAAGGUAACUCAUCUAAUGUAACAUAAGUAGCAAAAUCAUUAAUCAUUUUUUCUCUAUUAUAGUGGAACUGCAUACCUCCACCGGGAUUUUUGAAGACAUGAAACUACCGAUUUGCGUUUGUUGUGAAGACGAUCCCCCGCGUGCUUCUCCACUUUCGUGACUUGCCUUCGUAAUAUUAUGCUUUUCCACUAAGUGUCGAUUAAGAGUACCCGUACCACCUCCUUUUUGCAUGCUAAAAGGAUCGGGAGAUUUUCCAAGUUGUAUACAAAUUUCACAAUGCACAUUAAUUCGUGAUGGAUCAUCCUCGGGUGUCUCGAAAAAUAAUUCCAUACAUGUGACUUUAAAUUCUUUUUACGAGCCGCGCCACUGCCACUAGCACCGCUCCCGCCAGCACCCCCACUGCCACCUAAAUCACAAAAAACGCACAUCAAUUAAAAACUUAAUCAAAUUAAAUUAUAAAACUAACGCAAAUCAAAUUAAAUUUCCUUUGUUUUCAAAUUUACAAAACUAACAGUUUAUAAAUUAUAGCAGAACAGUGUAUUCAAAAUCAAGUAAAAACUAAAAUAUAAUUAAAAUGAAAUCAAAUUAAAGUAUGAUUUAAAUUUGAAAACUAAAAUAUAAUUAAAACGAAAUCAAAUUAAAGUAUGAUUUAAAUUUGAAAACUAAAAUAAAUUAAAACAAAAUCGGAUUAAAAUGAAAAAAUCGAACUAAAUGAAACACGCCUUCGCCGUCGCCGGAGUGUGCAGCAGUCGGUACGGGUGGAGGUCUUCGGGGCGGCGGCAUGACCGGACUUUGAGUAGAAUCUUGAGAGGAUAACGUACCCCGACCUUCUUCCAUAAUUAACAGAAAAUAUAAACAGAAAAAAUUACGCCUCGCCGGAAUUUAUGCCGGAAAAGCUUGAAUAUUUAUGCCUGAAAAGCUUGAGCAGUUGGGAGUUGUGACUUCAGAACCGAGAUAAUUGAGAGAUAGAAAUAUAGAAUAGAGGUGGAGGUGAAGAUAGAACUGAGUAGAGGUGGGUAUUUAUAAGCUCGGAGCCUCGGACACCAACGGCUCCAAGCCUCCCACGGCUCUUCUAGGAGCAGGUUAACGUUACAUACAAUGAUACAAAGGUGGAAGUUGAAGGCUUGAAGGCUGAAGCAGUGCAGGUGCAGUGUGCAGAGCAGAGGACAGAGGUGCAGGUGAACAUUGUAAGUUUGUAACGGUUCGCGGGUUUCACGGUUUCAACGGUUCCACGGGUUACACGGUUCAACAUUAAAAAGGAGUUUGAUAACAAGUACGGUCCUACGUGGGCAGUGUGCCUAGCCUGUGUAAUGUUGAUUCUUUAUGUAGCUUUCUUUAUUUAAUAAAUUUAAUAGUUAUUUUUAUUAAAUAUAUAUUUAAAUCUGAAUGACUUAAAAUUUUAUAUAUUUAAUAGUUAUUUUUAUUAAAAAAACAAGAUUAAAAAUUGAUAAUUCAUUAAAUUAACAUGAAAAAAUUUACAAUACAAAUUUUUGAUUAAUUAUAUUUAUAUAAUAAUAAAUGCAUUUUUUUUUUGAAAUUAUUAUCGAUGUGUUAAUAUAUAAACCACGUUUUUAAUAAGAUUCAAAUCUUGUUAAUAAAAUAAGCUAUUUAUUUUAUUAGUUUUAUAAUCAUAAAUAUAUUAUAGUAUAAUAAAUUAUUAUAUUAAAGGUAAUAUGCGUUAAAUUAGCAUACAUAUUCAUCAACACAAAAGGUAUAUGAACCAUCCAGCUAGGUUAUGUAGUCUCCGUCGUCCAGCGAAUUUUCCAGUCAUUCAGUUGAUUUACGACGCUAACAAACAAUCUGAAUAGUUAACCUUUUUCUCGUUCAGCUGUUUUUGUCUCGUCCACCCGUCGUUAACAAAUGGGGCCUUAGCACGUGAACUUAACACAAGUAAAAUUUUUAAUAAAUAGAUUAAUAAAUUUUUAAUACACGGUUCAAGCGGGUUUCCACGGUUUCACGGGUUCGCGGUUUUGACGGUUUUGGCAUGCCGGUUCGUGGCGGUUUGCGAAUCGAACAUACGGGAACCGUAACCGGCUCGUCAGCAACUACGGUUCGUGCUGAUUCGUGCCGGUUCGUACCCGGCACGUUAAAAUACAGGCCAAAUGACGGUUCGUGCCGAGCCAAACCGCCCGAAUGGCCGGCUCUGCUGGGUUGGUCGUGGAAGAAGAUGGGGGCACAAUUUAUAAUUGAAAUAUUGUAUAAAAACCCGUUUUUACCCUUAUUUCCGUUACUCCCGGUUAAGUGAUAUUUAACGGGAGCCACUUUUUUAAAACGCGGAGACAAAGUGUGGCCACUGUUCUGAGAAUUUGAAACUUUGGCCAAUUUUUUAAAAAUGGGUGUAAACUUUGGCCACAACUCUGAAGUUUACUCUAUUUUAUGUACUCAGUGAAGAUUAGAUACGGGAGGAUUUCACAAUACUGUAUUGAUAUGGAGUGCUUUAAGCAGUGAUGUAGCCAUCUGCUUUACCAAAACUUGGCCGCCGGAACUCUGCCCAUCUCAGUCUUUCCUCAAUCAAAUUUUGAAGUUUUUGAGGCAAGUCGUUCUCCACAAUCAAUUGCUUUGGACGUGGAUGGUGCUCGUAUACAGCCUGAUAUAGUGUAGAGUUAAAUGUAAGAGACAGAUUUCUAGCUUUACUUUGAAAGAUACUAAUGCAACAUAUUAAAUCCAUCUCGACUUCUCUUUUAUGUUGAGAGAUUUAGAAACACUCACGUUAAUUUAAAUCUGCAUACAUUUCUCUUUUCUGUUACAGCUUAGAGGAGACUUGUGGUCUACAUAUUGAUGAAGAAUGAUUGUUUAUAGAUUCUUCUGCGAUAGAUGGUCAGAAGUUGAAGCUGUUAUUGCGAAUAAAACAGAAGGCAUGACAAUAAGAUAUCCUAUCCGAGCCAGAAAUGAUAGUAGAAUAUUGGGCGACCUACAAUCAAGUAAAAUUUUUGGAUCACUACUGGGUUUGCUCUAAAAUCACCUUCCACAAGUCAUAUUUCCUUUUAAUGUACAUUUUUUUGGAAUCAAGAUGUUGCAUGAGUUUGAUUAUUGAGACAUAUUCAGAGGAGGCAUGGAAAAGUACUUCUUUGAUGCUCUGCAUAUAAAUUAGUUAAAGAAUUGGCUUGAAAUAUUAUUUUCCUAUCUUUUUUUCUUUUUUUACGAAUAUAUUAGCUUUUAUUACAAGUUUAUAUCUUUUUCUAAAUAAAGAUGUUAAUCUAAUAAUGAAAAAUCAUACGAACAAUUACAAAAAAAGAGUGAUACAACAGAGAAUUACUGCACCAAAAGUUGCAAAUGUUACAGAUGUAAAAGUUGCAGCAGAUUUGGGGUCGAAAUGCCUGGUGUGGUGUGUGUAGGCGGCGAUGUCACCGCCGACGGUGAAGCCGGGACUCGUUCAACUCGACCCAUGUGCUCCUAGAUGCAAGCCUAAUAUGAAAACACCACCGUAUAAUUUUUAAAAGAAGACGUAUGAGGUAGCGGGAAAAAGUAACGUGAAAAUGCUUGGAUAUGCGUGGGCUAGAUUCAACAUAUUCUUUUACUAAUCUACUCCUGGUAAGCAAUAGGCAUUUUUUUUUUUUUUUUGACAAAGUAAGCCAUAGGCAUUUAAUAAUGAUAUAAAUGGGAAAACGCCGACAAAGAAGCAGGAAACAAAUUGUAUCAGUACAAAGUGCAUCAGAUAGAAAUCUUAAUUGUUUUCCAUCAUUUUGAACUAAUGGCUUUUGUGUUAUGGCAAACGUUGAAAGAAUCAAUCACAGCAUCCGCAGAACUCUCAGCUGUGACUUUGCUUAAAUCUCUAACUUUGGGACUUGCCUUGUUCUAUGCUAUUUGGGUGAUGUUUGGGCUCUCUGCUCACCCACAGCAGCAAGUCUCAGUGGUGGAAGACAAGAGUGAAGUUACAGUGGAUACUACAACUAGUCAAUUAGCAACUGUCACUUCAUCCCCUUUAUGGGAUGUCUUUUUGAGUUUUCGUGGCCAAGACACUCGCGGAAAUUUCAUUUCACAUCUUUACCAUGCUUUGGAUCAGGCCGGGAUCAGAACCUUCAAAGACGAUCCUGCACUGGAAAAGGGUGAAGAAAUUUCAUCAGCUCUGCGUCAAGCAAUCAGAAAUUCUAAAAUGUUUCUACUUGUUAUCUCAACGAACUAUGCUGAUUCGUCAUGGUGCCUUGAUGAGCUUGUAGAGAUCCUGAGUUGCAAGAGAACAAAGAAUCAGGUUAUUCCAGUAUUUUACCAUGUGAAUCCAUCAGAUCUACGACACCACAAAGGGAGUUUUGGCGUAGCUCUUAAAAAGCAUGAGAAGCGUCACUCUGUUGAUAGGAUUCACAAGUGGAAAUCCGCGCUUACUGAAAUCGCAGCUCUGUCAGGAUACCAUUUGGAAGACGGAAAAGAGUAAGUCCUUUAUGAUGAGUUUAUCUAAUUAUACCAUCUGUUUUCCUAUUAAUCUUCAGUUAAGCUUUCUGUAAACACAUGACAUGCUUCCUCAUUAAAGGACUUGCCACACAACACAUUAUAUAUUAUUUUUAUAAGCAAAGGAUUACAACUGUGCAUAUUGUACUCAAAUUAACAGGAGUGAAGCAGAUACAAUUCAAAAUAUUGUUGAUAAUGUAUUGUCACAAGCAUCCACAAAGGUCGUACACCUUGAAAGAGGUCUAUUUGGGAUAGAUCGUGCUGUUGAAGAGAUAUAUAGACAACUAAGCAUAGAGUCAAGUGAUGUUCGUGCCCUUGGAAUAUGUGGGAUGGGUGGAAUUGGGAAAACAACUAUAGCCAAGGCUUUCUACAAUAACUACGCCCACGAAUUUGAUGUAAGUUGUUUUAUGGAAAAUAUGAAACAGAAUUCACAAGAAGCUAGUCCUCUACUUUCUUCACUUCAACAACUCUUGAAAGAGCUUCUCAGAGCUAAGGAUUUUAAGGUCCGUGAUUUUGGAAGUGCACUACGAAAAUUGAGAGAGAUUCUAAGUUCUAACAAAGCUCUCAUUGUUUUUGAUGAUUUGGACCAGCCAAAUUAUUCGGAAUUCGUAGUGGAGAUUUGCAAGCUGUUGUCCGAUGGUAGCAGAAUGAUAAUUACGGCAAGAGAUUUAAACCUGCCAAAUCAACUGAAAGUUGAAAUGUCAAAUGUAGGGAUAUAUAUGGUGAAGCAUCUGAAUCAAACUGGAGCUCUUUAGCUAUCAUGCUUUUAAAGUAUCAAAGCCUCCUGGGAAAUACUUAGCUCUAUCUGAAAGUUUUGUUACUUAUGCGGGAGGCCUUCCACUAGCUCUAAAGGUGUUGGGUUCAUCUUUGUGUGGUAGGACAAAUGUGUUAUUUUGGAAAGUUAAGUUGGAAAAAGUUCAAAAAAUUCCAAUGGAAAAUAUCCAAAGGAUCCUACAACUGAGUUACGAUGAGUUAGAAGAUGACACACAGAGGGCUAUUUUCCUUGAUAUUUUAUUCUUCUUCCUCGAAAAGAACAUAGAUGAACCUAUUGAUGUAUUUAAAUCAUGUGAUUUUUUUCCGGAGGCUGGGAUACCAAUUCUAGUUGAAAGAUGUCUACUAACCAUUGAUUCCAAUAAUAGGUUUCAAAUGCAUAAUCUUAUACAAGAUAUGGGAAGGAAUGUCAUUCGUGAAGAAUCUAAACAUGCCCGGUUCAGGGUCUUGCACUUGGAUCACGAAGAAGCUUCUCAGGCUUUGCCAAAUACAUGGGUAAUCAAAAUGCUAAAUUAUUUAAUUUCUUAUGAGAUAACACACCGUGCUUCUUUUUCCCCUAUAAAUAUUUAAUUGAGUAAUCAAAAAUUAAAUUAUAUAUAACAUAUAGUUCAUUAUAUUACUUAUAAACUUUUUUUUAUUUAGAAAAAUUAUUUCUAACUAAAAUUUAGUUGUUAAUUUCAUAACAUAUGCCAAAUGUGUUCUCCGAGUACAUUUUUUCACUUUUACUGCUAUCUGUUACUGCACAUUCAGGAAAUGGAUAAAAUUGAAGGCCUCAUUAUAGAUGGUAUGUUAGAUAUAAUUGAUGAUUACUGCUAAUGUUCUUAAAGUUUGUUUUAGAACAGGAAUCAUCAGAGUUUAAGCUAGAAGCUGAUCAGAGUUAAGUAAAGUCUGACAGAGUUUAGUAAAGUCUGACAGAGUUUGAUAAAGUCUGAUCAGAGUUUACAUAGUCAAGACUCGACAGAGUUUACACGUGGAAAGAGCUCAGAAGCGGAUAUACUUCAAGGAAGGAUAGAAGCUGAGGAGUGAUUUGCUGACUAUGGAAACUAAACAGAAAACUGGAGCAAUCUUUGAUUGAUAGAUUUAUUAGCUGAUUUAUAGGAUAUCAAAUCAGAGAUUGAUUUUGUAACUGUGUCUAUAUAAACACAGAUUAGGGUUACUCUAUAUGAGUUGAGUUAUCGAGUAUAUUGUUAAGAACCCUAGCAGCUCUUAGUGAUACAAUAUAAAUCACUGAGAGAGUUUUUGUAACUAUUAAAGCUUUGUGAAUAUAAGAGUUUACUGCUUUCGAUCUCUUAUAUUGUCUUAUUGUGUUACAGAUUGUGAUCACUAUAUCAUUCUAUAUAGUGAAAAUAUAGGACCUAACAUGGUACAAUGUCUACUUACAAGCACUGCAAUGCCGAGCUAUUCGAAAGGUUGCCAAACCUAAGAUUAAUAAAAUUAGUUGAUGUCUAUGCUAUCAAAGGAAAUUUCAAAGCUUCAUUUCAUGAGUUGAGGUACAUCAGUUGGCAUGGCUGUCCUUAGACCCAUUUACCUUAUGGUGUUCAUCUACAAAAACUUGUUGUUUUAGACAUGCCAUUCAGCAGAUUUGAAACAUUGUGGAGGAUUGCUAAGGUAUGAAAUCAAAUAUCUUAACUAUUACUCUCUCCCGCUCAUGUGUUAUAUAUUAUACUAGCUUUAGAUGCCCUUACUUCGCACAUGUUAAGUUUUAUAUAUGAUAAAUUCUCGAAAACAACUAACUUAAUGAAUGAAUUAAUCAAGCAACAUCGUUAUACAUCAUGUCAUACAUUAUGUUUCAUGGACGAUAAUCAGCAUCACAUUCAUCAUAUUAUAUAUCACUGCUAAUCACUUACAGAAAACUUAGAAAGUAUACUAAUGAAUAAUCCUAAGUUCCUAACAUUGAGCAAAUUCUGAGAAAUAUGAACCAACCUAUUUCAAGACUCAACGAAGCAAAAUCAUGAUGGGGUAUUGUUCCAAAUUUGUUCUUCCGCUCUCUAGAAGUGCAAGGAGUGGUUUACUGUUCCUGCAUAUGGAGUUGAUGGACAAAAAAAAGAAAAAAACUACAAAGCUAGGUUUCUGAAGCAAGAAUAUAUGCUAUGCAGAAACAAAGAGUUAGUUAUCCAAAUCUAAUCAAAUGACCAUUUUUAAUCUCUUCUUUGACGAUUUUGUAGAACCUGGUGUGUCUCCAGCUUCAUUCAAGUCACACAAGACAAAUUAUUAGAAAAGUAUAUAUAUACACUCACAUAUAUGAACCUAGCUGUAAUUUCUGAUUAGAGUUCUUUUAUGGGUGUAUUGAUUGGACAGUUACCAUGUUUGCGUCACUUGAAUUUGGAAGGAUGCAAAUACUUGAAGGAAUUGCCCCACUCAAUUGGACAGUCGACUGCUCUAUACCAUUUGAAGUUGAAUGAUUGUGUGAAUCUAAAACAACUUCCCAAACCCAUUACACAAUCGACUACUCUGAGUCGAUUGAAUAUGAGUGGUUGUGAAAAUCUGCAACUUUUGCCGGAGCAACUGGGCGAUUUGAAAGGCCUAAAGUGGCUUGAUGCAAGUUCUACAGCAAUUGGGCAACUGCCAGAUUCAAUUGCUCACUUGAAGAAAUUAUAGUUCAUUUGAAUUUGAGCAAUUGCAAGAAGCUUAGAAAGUUGCCUGAGCGAUUUGGAAACAUGGAAGGCUUGGAGAAGUUUGAUGCUGUUGGUAGUGCAAUCGAACAACUGCCAGACUCGUUUUCAAACCUGCUUGAUUUAAGAUCUCUGAAUCUGAGAGCAUGUUCGCAGCUGAAGAGAUUGCCUGAGCAGUUGGGGAAGAUGCAGUGUCUACAAUUCCUAGAUGCAUCUGUCACAGCAAUUGAAGAAUUACCGGAUUCUAUUGGAUUACUGCCUAGGAUACAAAACUUGAUUUUCGAGCGAUGCAAGAAGCUUACAUAUGUUCCAAAUAGCAUCUGCAAUCUUAAAUCACUUGAAUAUUUAAAUCUUUUCAUCGGUGAGGACAUAAUAAAAAUUGAGUUGUUUGAGGCUGUGAAUGAUAUGAACUUGAAGGAGCUGACACUGAGUGGUAAUAUAAGAGUUUGUUUGCCCAUCAUUCUAAGCUUCUCUUCUCUGACAGUUUUAACACUCACUGAUGUGUGCGGGAGUCCCUCCCCAACCAAACCCUUUAGUUUCUUUCAGCUUUUCAACCUUCAGAGUCUUGGUCUGUAUAACUGUACAAGUCAUGGGUCCUCCUUUCCCGAACUACCACUGAAUUUAGAAGAGUUGGACGUAGAUAACCACGCUUCACUGGAACAAGUACCUGAUUUGUCCCACCUCAAACAGUUGAAGAUUAUGUCCAUUGGGAGAUGCUGCAGCCUUCAAUCUCUCCACAAACUUCCACCUCAUCUCUCACUCCUUCGAGUUGAGGAUUGUACAAGCCUACAAGAGUUUCCAGAUCUGUCAAUGUUGAGAGAUUUAGAAACACUGGAUGUUACUGGCAAUGGCAGCAAUUUAAAAGUCAGUUUAGAGGAGAAUCACCUUCAGCUUCAGGUUAGUGGUGUAGUUGGUCUUUCUCUUCCACUUACACUCGUACAUAUUAAAUCCAUCUCCAUUCAUCUUUUUAUCUUACAGCUAAGAGAGAAUGAUGAUACAUUUAUAGCAACUAUACCAAACAAGGAAAUUCCCGAGUGGUUCAACUAUAAAAACAGGGAAGGGUGCACACUAUCCUUUGAUGUUCCGCCAAACUUGGGAGAUAACUUUGCGGGUGUCGCCUUCUGGGUUGUUUAUAAAUCCUCCUCCCAAGAAUCUAAUUAUCUUAAAGCUGUUAUUACAAAUAAAACAGAGGAUACCACGACAACUAUCCCGAUUACUGGUUCUAGUUGUCGUGGAAUGGAUGACGUGGAAUCAGCUAUACGUUGCAUAUGGGCAGAGGACUUAUCAAUAGCGAAGGGAGAAAAUAUUAUGAUUUCUUUUGAGUGGAACCCUUUAUGUGAUACAGAAGUGAAAAUGUGCGGGGCUCACAUGCUAAAACACCCUUUCAAGAAGAGCCUUCAGGCAUAGCCAAACAAAAUGUUAGUAUAAUUUACUUUUUCAGGAAAAUGUUGUACAAUUACAAAAAUUGGAUAAUUCAUCGGAACGAUUCCAGGUUUUUCUAAGCUAGGAACGGAGUUGUGGGCGAUUUACGCCCCAAUGAGGAGGGCUAUGAUCAAAAGUUACGACUCUGUUAUAGUCGAAACAGACAAUCUCGAGGCGUUUCAGGUGGUCCAUGGUUUCAACACAGGAGGUGCCCCUGCUCCGGUGUUUGACAUCGUGUCUCAGAUUUGGAUUCUCUUGAAGGAUCGCCGUUGGGUUUGUGGCUUAGCAUAUGUCUUCCCGGCUAGGAACCAUGUCGCUCGAUUUGUGGCUCGAAUAGGGAGGGAAGUGUGUGAUUGUUUAUACACAUUCAAUCGUAUGGUAGGCCCCAUGGAAGAACUUAUUGAUUGGGACAUGGGGCUGGGAGUUAAUCACCCAGACUUCAUGGAUGUGCUGGUGCCUGAUGACGCCCAGGAUCCAGUCAACUUCAAUGUGGCAGCAGGCUUUGCGAAUCAGAUGCAUGGUCAAGAAGUGGCUCAGGCUGAAGUGCAGCCAAAUAAUAACAUGCAGAAUGCAUGGUGAGCCGCGGGCAGCUGGGGGAGAAUGGCGGAUUGCAGCAGGCUAAUCAAGGUAUGGAAAAUGGUGGUGUGCAUAACCCCUUUCAAGCUCCUCCAGUGCUGUUUGACGAGCCAGUAGGUGAUCAUGAGGAGAUUUUUCAGCUUGGCAGGGCAGGAAAUGGUUUCUUAUUUGCUGGCGGACCCCCCUUUGGAUGAUAUAGAUUAGGGUUUGGUCAUCAGGUUUCUGGUUCCUUAUGUCCUGCUGCACUUGUAGUUAUAUGUUGUCGAGUGUAGCAGAAUAAGCUUGUUUAGUUUAGUAGAAGUAGCAGUUUCUCCUUCAGUUUAGGUGUAGUCUUUUAGGUUGUGUGAUGUGCAGCUUACUCUUAUCUCUUGUUGGAGAUAGAAUUUAAUCAAUAAAAGUCUUGCUUUUCCAAAAAAAAUAAAUCGGAAUUGAAAAUUUACACCAAAUCAUAGCGUUUAUUCGACUUGGUAUAUAUAUAUUUCUUGAUAUGCAAAUUUUUUGGCAAUUUUUUUAAUAAUGUCUUAUUUAUGUAAAUAUCCUUGAAAUACGUUCAGGUAUUUGUAAGAUUUAGCGAUUAAUAGAGAUUAUUAUUAAAUGUGCUUUAACAAUUCAAUUUUAAAAAUUUUGAUUUUUAUAUUAUUCUCAUUUCAUACAUAUAAUAGAGUUGGUGUACACUGCUUCAUAUAAGAUGAAAUAUCGAUAAUGAGGAGAUAAAAUUAUGAUUUCUUUUAGUUUAGGUUUCGCUUUUCCAAAAGCAGUGAAGGUGCGUGGGGUUUAAUAAAUGAAAAAAUAGAAAUAUUUAUAUAAAUAUCAAUUUAUUAUAAAUUAUUUACAAAAAUAUUGUCAAAUAGAUUUUUUCUAAAAAAAUUACAAUUUUUUGCAAAUUAUUUACAAAAAUAUGACUUACAAUUUGUGCAACCUUAAUUUGUAAAUGUUGCAAAUGAGGUUGCAUAGUUGUCAUUUUGUAAAAUAAAGUUGUACAGGUUGCAAGUCUCACCACCUUCUCCUACACUGCUUCGUUCACGUAAUUGGGUUUCUUCACCUUCCUUCCCGGAAGUCCGAACUUUCGAUGGUGACCUUGAACUUGUUCGUCUUUCUGAUCAUCACAAUCGAAUAAAAAAAAACACGCACACACGAUCAAUUGGAUUAUCAAAGUGACUUUGUGAUUAUUCGAAUCAUUGAUCAUAGUCGAACUUCAAUGCUGUAUUAACUCUUUUCCUUCAAUUGAUUGGCCCCACAAAAGAGUUUCACGAUAGUUUUGAGUUCGAUCAGUGGCCGACAUUUACAAAAAAAUGACUUGCAAUUUUACAACCUCAUUUGUAACAUCAUUUCUCAAUUGUUGCAAGUGAGAUUGUAUAAGUUACAAAUGAAAUUUCUUAUUUACAACGGUUGCAAAAUGAUGUUGUAGCCUUCAAUCUCUCCAGAAACUUCCACCUCAUCUUUCAUACUUAUAAGACUACUCUAUAAGACUUUCCAGAUUUGUCAAUGUUGAGAGAUUUAGAACAACCGGAAGUUAUUCACAACGGCAGCAAUUUGAAAAAUCGGCUUAGAGGAUAAUCACCUCCAGGCGAGUGAUGUUGUUGGUCUUUCGCUUCCAAUAGUACUCGGUGCGUAUCAAAUCCAUUCUCUUUCAUGUUUAGAAUUUGGGCUGUGUUCAUUUGACUUGAAUAGAAUGACAAAAAAAUUGAAUGGAUUUUGUACUCAUUCCUUGAAUCAUUCUAUUGCUACUAUUUUAAUUAGAAUUCUAAUACACGUGUUUUAAAAAGAAAGCUCAUUCCAUUUCAUACUUUUCUUUUUUCCAUAAAACUUCUAUAUAAUUUUUCAUUACAUUCUCCCCUCAUUCCAUUCAAUUAAAGUGAACACAACCUGAUAAACACUCGGUUUUAUCUAAAUCCUCAUACAUUUCUCUUUUCUGUUACAGCUUAUAGUAGACUUGUGGUCUACAUAUCAAUGCAAGAUGGUCAAAAGUGGAAGCUGUUAUUACAAUAAAACAGACGGUAUGACAAUAACAUAUCCUAUCCAAGCCAGAUACAUAGUAGAACAUAGCGCGACUUACAAUGAAGUAGAAUUUUAAGUGCUUUUUCUGCUUGGAGGAAGAAAAUUUACCGAUAUUACGAAAAUGUCAUGAGUACGUCCACCGAAGAAAAUCCAUCUUAAUUUCUCUUCUUAUGUUACAGGUAGGAGGAGACGAGGAGCCAGGGGGUCUACAUUUGAAGCUACUAUCCAAAACCGAGUCGAUCAUAGAAACAGGGGAUGCACACUAUCUUUUGAUGUUCCACCAAACUUGGGACUUGGGAGAGAACUUGGUGGCUUCGGCGUUCUGGGUGGUUGAUGAAUGCUUAUGUAAGGGAUAGUUAAGAGUUGAUGCUGUUAAUAAAAAUAUACUCCUUCUGGUCCAUAAUAUAGGUCAUUUGACUUUUUACAUGUAGGUCGUCACGUAACUUUAGGUGUUUUGACCACAUAACAAAUAUGAAUAUUUUUAUAAUUUUCUUUUUCUAAAUAAAAAUAUAAAUGUUAUAUUUUAAUUUAGAAAAAAAAAAUUACAAAAAUUUUGAUAUUUGCUAUGUGGUCAAAGCAUGUUACGUGUAAAAAGUCAAACGACCUAUAUUAUGGACCAAAGGGAGUAACACACAGGGUAUGACAAUCAGGUAUACUAUCAGGCUUACGGCAGAUAGUGGAGUGGGUGACAGUGCAAUCCACGGGGAAAUACACAAGGGGAUGACAUCUUAUGAUUUCUCAUCUCAAUUAGUAUCAUAUUAUUUUGUGCAAAUUUUGUAAGCCAAUUACGUACAUAUAACACUAACCUAAUGUAUGCCAUCUUUUUAUAACCGUUGGUAGUCAUCCAACGAGAGUUUUACAGCGAAAUGUUUUGGCAUUUUUAAAUGUUAUUCUGGUUUGGUGAAGUUUCAUUUGGUAGUUGCUUGCUUGUUUCAUUGAUUCAUUAGUAUUUUGCAUGGGUCUUUCCCCUCUUUGAUGAGUAGCUUGAGCACGAGCACGAGUCCGUUGACUGAUUUCAAAAUUAUAAUUUUAAUAUGAUAAUUUAGUAGUUUAAAAUGUAUGUUUGAAUAAUUUUGAUUUACUAAUGAUUUAUAAGUCAUUAAAUUGGUAGUAAAAAAGAUGAUUUAUGAAUAAAUUAUGACUUACGGAUAAUUUUUAUAAAAAGAAAUUUUACAAAAACUAAAUUACUCAAGAAAAUAUGUCUAAUUAAUUUUUAGAUUUAAGUUUCUAACUUAUUUAUGAUUUUCAAUAACUUAUUUAUGGCUCUCAGCCGUUUCAGACUUAUUAUUCUAAUAGAUAUUUUUCAAUUUAAAUUAAGAAAUAACAACUUUAUUAAAUGAAAAAGUUUAAGAUUAACAUGUGUGUUGGGCGCUGUUACAGUAUGUUUAUUUCAACAUGAUUUCUACAAUCUACAUGCAUGCAAUAUUUUCAUGAUAAUUUUAUAAUAUUUUUCUUUUUAUUAAACACUAAAUUCAAUAUAUAAUAUAUCAAAUCGAGGUGAAUAUUAAUUAACUAUGAUAUGGUACCAUCAAAACACACUAAAAAUUUUAUUUGGGUUGCUUUUGUAAGAGUCAAGUAGCGGUUUGACCUUAUUUUUUUCUGACUCGGCUCGUAUUUGUUCGUGAACCAUCUCGUGUUCGGCUUGUUAGUUAACUAGCUCGAGCUCGAACACAAUUUUUUGUUCGAUAAGAAAGUUCGGCUCAGCUUGAUACGAAAAAAUUUAAAGCUCGGUUUAGCUCUGUUUGUAACCAGCCCUAACUUAUAUUAUUGCGAAGAGUAGUAUGAAUUUGGGCAGCGGUAAUUACAGAAAGUUUCCUUGUCGAUAUACUCAUUUUAAUUGUAUAAACUGUUCUGAUAGUUCAAGUAAAUUGUAACCGACUCUUUGAAUAUAAAAACACAGAGCUUUCAAGAUCAAUUUAUAAUUCCAACUUCAACAUCAAAAUGGAAAAAGAAAUUCUGAGCAAAAAGAUUCGCAAAAACAAGAUGAUAAUCAGCCAGAGAGAGCAUUAUUGUUAUAUCCUUGCAUAAUUGUCGAGUUUUCUUUUUUAUAAUAAAACUGGCAACUUUUUAUUAGAAUUGAAUUAAAUUAACUUUUUAUUAGAAUAAAUUGCAUUAUUGUUAUAUCAUUAAUUUUUAUUAGCAUUAGUUUCAUUUAUAACACCCAGGGGCGUAGCCACAGCCACGCUUGAGGGGUCACUUGAACCCAUAAAAUUUUUAAUUUUAGGAGAAUGCCAUUGUUCAUGAUACAGCUCCAGAGAACUACAGGUCUGAUGUAGUUGAUGAAACUGACAAAGUAGCUGUGGAAGCGUUACAAACUCUUGCUCAGACUGGUGAAGAGCCCAUCAAGUCACAGUCUGAAGAUAAAGGAAAAUCUGCUCAGGAUAAUGUGGAGAAAGUUGCAGAUCCUGUUCCUGCAGAUGAAAAAGCAAACUCUGAUACUGAGGAUGAUACCAGUUCAGAUACUGACAAGGAUGACAAUGCUGAAAUCCCUUUGACACAACAGAAAUGGGAGUCUACUAGCCAGUUCAAUGCAAGGCUACAAACUCUGAAUACAGCCUCUGAGCCACUCCCAAGGGAUCUUCAGGUUGAUCCACCAAAUGAAGUCUGGGAUAAACUCUGGUUGAGCCACCAGCACUCCUUGGAAACACCUAAAGCUGAAGAGUUCUUAGCUAUGGCAGAGAAGAAAAUUACAAACUCUGAUGUUAUGUCAAGCCUCAAGGGCACAAUUCUAUAUCUGAAGACAUUUCAUCCUGCUCAUGCCCAGACAUCUAAAUCAAUAGAUGGUCUAAGAACAGAGGUGGCAAAAGUCAAGGAGACAAAUGAACUGGAAAAGAAAAGGACCAUCAAUCCUAUAAAAGAAAGUGUACAGAAGCUGGUCACUGCAAAUGAAUNNNNNNNNNNNNNNNNNNNNNNNNNNNNNNNNNNNNNNNNNNNNNNNNNNNNNNNNNNNNNNNNNNNNNNNNNNNNNNNNNNNNNNNNNNNNNNNNNNNNNNNNNNNNNNNNNNNNNNNNNNNNNNNNNNNNNNNNNNNNNNNNNNNNNNNNNNNNNNNNNNNNNNNNNNNNNNNNNNNNNNNNNNNNNNNNNNNNNNNNNNNNNNNNNNNNNNNNNNNNNNNNNNNNNNNNNNNNNNNNNNNNNNNNNNNNNNNNNNNNNNNNNNNNNNNNNNNNNNNNNNNNNNNNNNNNNNNNNNNNNNNNNNNNNNNNNNNNNNNNNNNNNNNNNNNNNNNNNNNNNNNNNNNNNNNNNNNNNNNNNNNNNNNNNNNNNNNNNNNNNNNNNNNNNNNNNNNNNNNNNNNNNNNNNNNNNNNNNNNNNNNNNNNNNNNNNNNNNNNNNNNNNNNNNNNNNNNNNNNNNNNNNNNNNNNNNNNNNNNNNNNNNNNNNNNNNNNNNNNNNNNNNNNNNNNNNNNNNNNNNNNNNNNNNNNNNNNNNNNNNNNNNNNNNNNNNNNNNNNNNNNNNNNNNNNNNNNNNNNNNNNNNNNNNNNNNNNNNNNNNNNNNNNNNNNNNNNNNNNNNNNNNNNNNNNNNNNNNNNNNNNNNNNNNNNNNNNNNNNNNNNNNNNNNNNNNNNNNNNNNNNNNNNNNNNNNNNNNNNNNNNNNNNNNNNNNNNNNNNNNNNNNNNNNNNNNNNNNNNNNNNNNNNNNNNNNNNNNNNNNNNNNNNNNNNNNNNNNNNNNNNNNNNNNNNNNNNNNNNNNNNNNNNNNNNNNNNNNNNNNNNNNNNNNNNNNNNNNNNNNNNNNNNNNNNNNNNNNNNNNNNNNNNNNNNNNNNNNNNNNNNNNNNNNNNNNNNNNNNNNNNNNNNNNNNNNNNNNNNNNNNNNNNNNNNNNNNNNNNNNNNNNNNNNNNNNNNNNNNNNNNNNNNNNNNNNNNNNNNNNNNNNNNNNNNNNNNNNNNNNNNNNNNNNNNNNNNNNNNNNNNNNNNNNNNNNNNNNNNNNNNNNNNNNNNNNNNNNNNNNNNNNNNNNNNNNNNNNNNNNNNNNNNNNNNNNNNNNNNNNNNNNNNNNNNNNNNNNNNNNNNNNNNNNNNNNNNNNNNNNNNNNNNNNNNNNNNNNNNNNNNNNNNNNNNNNNNNNNNNNNNNNNNNNNNNNNNNNNNNNNNNNNNNNNNNNNNNNNNNNNNNNNNNNNNNNNNNNNNNNNNNNNNNNNNNNNNNNNNNNNNNNNNNNNNNNNNNNNNNNNNNNNNNNNNNNNNNNNNNNNNNNNNNNNNNNNNNNNNNNNNNNNNNNNNNNNNNNNNNNNNNNNNNNNNNNNNNNCAGAGUUUACACGUGGAAAGAGCUCAGAAGCGGAUAUACUUCAAGGAAGGAUAGAAGCUGAGGAGUGAUUUGCUGACUAUGGAAACUAAACAGAAAACUGGAGCAAUCUUUGAUUGAUAGAUUUAUUAGCUGAUUUAUAGGAUAUCAAAUCAGAGAUUGAUUUUGUAACUGUGUCUAUAUAAACACAGAUUAGGGUUACUCUAUAUGAGUUGAGUUGUCGAGUAUAUUGUUAAGAACCCUAGCAGCUCUUAGUGAUACAAUAUAAAUCACUGAGAGAGUUUUUGUAACUAUUAAAGCUUUGUGAAUAUAAGAGUUUACUGCUUUCGAUCUCUUAUAUUGUCUUAUUGUGUUACAGAUUGUGAUCACUAUAUCAUUCUAUAUAGUGAAAAUAUAGGACCUAACAUGGUACAAUGUCUACUUACAAGCACUGCAAUGCCGAGCUAUUCGAAAGGUUGCCAAACCUAAGAUUAAUAAAAUUAGUUGAUGUCUAUGCUAUCAAAGGAAAUUUCAAAGCUUCAUUUCAUGAGUUGAGGUACAUCAGUUGGCAUGGCUGUCCUUAGACCCAUUUACCUUAUGGUGUUCAUCUACAAAAACUUGUUGUUUUAGACAUGCCAUUCAGCAGAUUUGAAACAUUGUGGAGGAUUGCUAAGGUAUGAAAUCAAAUAUCUUAACUAUUACUCUCUCCCGCUCAUGUGUUAUAUAUUAUACUAGCUUUAGAUGCCCUUACUUCGCACAUGUUAAGUUUUAUAUAUGAUAAAUUCUCGAAAACAACUAACUUAAUGAAUGAAUUAAUCAAGCAACAUCGUUAUACAUCAUGUCAUACAUUAUGUUUCAUGGACGAUAAUCAGCAUCACAUUCAUCAUAUUAUAUAUCACUGCUAAUCACUUACAGAAAACUUAGAAAGUAUACUAAUGAAUAAUCCUAAGUUCCUAACAUUGAGCAAAUUCUGAGAAAUAUGAACCAACCUAUUUCAAGACUCAACGAAGCAAAAUCAUGAUGGGGUAUUGUUCCAAAUUUGUUCUUCCGAUCUCUAGAAGUGCAAGGAGUGGUUUACUGUUCCUGCAUAUGGAGUUGAUGGACAAAAAAAAGAAAAAAACUACAAAGCUAGGUUUCUGAAGCAAGAAUAUAUGCUAUGCAGAAACAAAGAGUUAGUUAUCCAAAUCUAAUCAAAUGACCAUUUUUAAUCUCUUCUUUGACGAUUUUGUAGAACCUGGUGUGUCUCCAGCUUCAUUCAAGUCACACAAGACAAAUUAUUAGAAAAGUAUAUAUAUACACUCACAUAUAUGAACCUAGCUGUAAUUUCUGAUUAGAGUUCUUUUAUGGGUGUAUUGAUUGGACAGUUACCAUGUUUGCGUCACUUGAAUUUGGAAGGAUGCAAAUACUUGAAGGAAUUGCCCCACUCAAUUGGACAGUCGACUGCUCUAUACCAUUUGAAGUUGAAUGAUUGUGUGAAUCUAAAACAACUUCCCAAACCCAUUACACAAUCGACUACUCUGAGUCGAUUGAAUAUGAGUGGUUGUGAAAAUCUGCAACUUUUGCCGGAGCAACUGGGCGAUUUGAAAGGCCUAAAGUGGCUUGAUGCAAGUUCUACAGCAAUUGGGCAACUGCCAGAUUCAAUUGCUCACUUGAAGAAAUUAUAGUUCAUUUGAAUUUGAGCAAUUGCAAGAAGCUUAGAAAGUUGCCUGAGCGAUUUGGAAACAUGGAAGGCUUGGAGAAGUUUGAUGCUGUUGGUAGUGCAAUCGAACAACUGCCAGACUCGUUUUCAAACCUGCUUGAUUUAAGAUCUCUGAAUCUGAGAGCAUGUUCGCAGCUGAAGAGAUUGCCUGAGCAGUUGGGGAAGAUGCAGUGUCUACAAUUCCUAGAUGCAUCUGUCACAGCAAUUGAAGAAUUACCGGAUUCUAUUGGAUUACUGCCUAGGAUACAAAACUUGAUUUUCGAGCGAUGCAAGAAGCUUACAUAUGUUCCAAAUAGCAUCUGCAAUCUUAAAUCACUUGAAUAUUUAAAUCUUUUCAUCGGUGAGGACAUAAUAAAAAUUGAGUUGUUUGAGGCUGUGAAUGAUAUGAACUUGAAGGAGCUGACACUGAGUGGUAAUAUAAGAGUUUGUUUGCCCAUCAUUCUAAGCUUCUCUUCUCUGACAGUUUUAACACUCACUGAUGUGUGCGGGAGUCCCUCCCCAACCAAACCCUUUAGUUUCUUUCAGCUUUUCAACCUUCAGAGUCUUGGUCUGUAUAACUGUACAAGUCAUGGGUCCUCCUUUCCCGAACUACCACUGAAUUUAGAAGAGUUGGACGUAGAUAACCACGCUUCACUGGAACAAGUACCUGAUUUGUCCCACCUCAAACAGUUGAAGAUUAUGUCCAUUGGGAGAUGCUGCAGCCUUCAAUCUCUCCACAAACUUCCACCUCAUCUCUCACUCCUUCGAGUUGAGGAUUGUACAAGCCUACAAGAGUUUCCAGAUCUGUCAAUGUUGAGAGAUUUAGAAACACUGGAUGUUACUGGCAAUGGCAGCAAUUUAAAAGUCAGUUUAGAGGAGAAUCACCUUCAGCUUCAGGUUAGUGGUGUAGUUGGUCUUUCUCUUCCACUUACACUCGUACAUAUUAAAUCCAUCUCCAUUCAUCUUUUUAUCUUACAGCUAAGAGAGAAUGAUGAUACAUUUAUAGCAACUAUACCAAACAAGGAAAUUCCCGAGUGGUUCAACUAUAAAAACAGGGAAGGGUGCACACUAUCCUUUGAUGUUCCGCCAAACUUGGGAGAUAACUUUGCGGGUGUCGCCUUCUGGGUUGUUUAUAAAUCCUCCUCCCAAGAAUCUAAUUAUCUUAAAGCUGUUAUUACAAAUAAAACAGAGGAUACCACGACAACUAUCCCGAUUACUGGUUCUAGUUGUCGUGGAAUGGAUGACGUGGAAUCAGCUAUACGUUGCAUAUGGGCAGAGGACUUAUCAAUAGCGAAGGGAGAAAAUAUUAUGAUUUCUUUUGAGUGGAACCCUUUAUGUGAUACAGAAGUGAAAAUGUGCGGGGCUCACAUGCUAAAACACCCUUUCAAGAAGAGCCUUCAGGCAUAGCCAAACAAAAUGUUAGUAUAAUUUACUUUUUCAGGAAAAUGUUGUACAAUUACAAAAAUUGGAUAAUUCAUCGGAACGAUUCCAGGUUUUUCUAAGCUAGGAACGGAGUUGUGGGCGAUUUACGCCCCAAUGAGGAGGGCUAUGAUCAAAAGUUACGACUCUGUUAUAGUCGAAACAGACAAUCUCGAGGCGUUUCAGGUGGUCCAUGGUUUCAACACAGGAGGUGCCCCUGCUCCGGUGUUUGACAUCGUGUCUCAGAUUUGGAUUCUCUUGAAGGAUCGCCGUUGGGUUUGUGGCUUAGCAUAUGUCUUCCCGGCUAGGAACCAUGUCGCUCGAUUUGUGGCUCGAAUAGGGAGGGAAGUGUGUGAUUGUUUAUACACAUUCAAUCGUAUGGUAGGCCCCAUGGAAGAACUUAUUGAUUGGGACAUGGGGCUGGGAGUUAAUCACCCAGACUUCAUGGAUGUGCUGGUGCCUGAUGACGCCCAGGAUCCAGUCAACUUCAAUGUGGCAGCAGGCUUUGCGAAUCAGAUGCAUGGUCAAGAAGUGGCUCAGGCUGAAGUGCAGCCAAAUAAUAACAUGCAGAAUGCAUGGUGAGCCGCGGGCAGCUGGGGGAGAAUGGCGGAUUGCAGCAGGCUAAUCAAGGUAUGGAAAAUGGUGGUGUGCAUAACCCCUUUCAAGCUCCUCCAGUGCUGUUUGACGAGCCAGUAGGUGAUCAUGAGGAGAUUUUUCAGCUUGGCAGGGCAGGAAAUGGUUUCUUAUUUGCUGGCGGACCCCCCUUUGGAUGAUAUAGAUUAGGGUUUGGUCAUCAGGUUUCUGGUUCCUUAUGUCCUGCUGCACUUGUAGUUAUAUGUUGUCGAGUGUAGCAGAAUAAGCUUGUUUAGUUUAGUAGAAGUAGCAGUUUCUCCUUCAGUUUAGGUGUAGUCUUUUAGGUUGUGUGAUGUGCAGCUUACUCUUAUCUCUUGUUGGAGAUAGAAUUUAAUCAAUAAAAGUCUUGCUUUUCCAAAAAAAAUAAAUCGGAAUUGAAAAUUUACACCAAAUCAUAGCGUUUAUUCGACUUGGUAUAUAUAUAUUUCUUGAUAUGCAAAUUUUUUGGCAAUUUUUUUAAUAAUGUCUUAUUUAUGUAAAUAUCCUUGAAAUACGUUCAGGUAUUUGUAAGAUUUAGCGAUUAAUAGAGAUUAUUAUUAAAUGUGCUUUAACAAUUCAAUUUUAAAAAUUUUGAUUUUUAUAUUAUUCUCAUUUCAUACAUAUAAUAGAGUUGGUGUACACUGCUUCAUAUAAGAUGAAAUAUCGAUAAUGAGGAGAUAAAAUUAUGAUUUCUUUUAGUUUAGGUUUCGCUUUUCCAAAAGCAGUGAAGGUGCGUGGGGUUUAAUAAAUGAAAAAAUAGAAAUAUUUAUAUAAAUAUCAAUUUAUUAUAAAUUAUUUACAAAAAUAUUGUCAAAUAGAUUUUUUCUAAAAAAAUUACAAUUUUUUGCAAAUUAUUUACAAAAAUAUGACUUACAAUUUGUGCAACCUUAAUUUGUAAAUGUUGCAAAUGAGGUUGCAUAGUUGUCAUUUUGUAAAAUAAAGUUGUACAGGUUGCAAGUCUCACCACCUUCUCCUACACUGCUUCGUUCACGUAAUUGGGUUUCUUCACCUUCCUUCCCGGAAGUCCGAACUUUCGAUGGUGACCUUGAACUUGUUCGUCUUUCUGAUCAUCACAAUCGAAUAAAAAAAAACACGCACACACGAUCAAUUGGAUUAUCAAAGUGACUUUGUGAUUAUUCGAAUCAUUGAUCAUAGUCGAACUUCAAUGCUGUAUUAACUCUUUUCCUUCAAUUGAUUGGCCCCACAAAAGAGUUUCACGAUAGUUUUGAGUUCGAUCAGUGGCCGACAUUUACAAAAAAAUGACUUGCAAUUUUACAACCUCAUUUGUAACAUCAUUUCUCAAUUGUUGCAAGUGAGAUUGUAUAAGUUACAAAUGAAAUUUCUUAUUUACAACGGUUGCAAAAUGAUGUUGUAGCCUUCAAUCUCUCCAGAAACUUCCACCUCAUCUUUCAUACUUAUAAGACUACUCUAUAAGACUUUCCAGAUUUGUCAAUGUUGAGAGAUUUAGAACAACCGGAAGUUAUUCACAACGGCAGCAAUUUGAAAAAUCGGCUUAGAGGAUAAUCACCUCCAGGCGAGUGAUGUUGUUGGUCUUUCGCUUCCAAUAGUACUCGGUGCGUAUCAAAUCCAUUCUCUUUCAUGUUUAGAAUUUGGGCUGUGUUCAUUUGACUUGAAUAGAAUGACAAAAAAAUUGAAUGGAUUUUGUACUCAUUCCUUGAAUCAUUCUAUUGCUACUAUUUUAAUUAGAAUUCUAAUACACGUGUUUUAAAAAGAAAGCUCAUUCCAUUUCAUACUUUUCUUUUUUCCAUAAAACUUCUAUAUAAUUUUUCAUUACAUUCUCCCCUCAUUCCAUUCAAUUAAAGUGAACACAACCUGAUAAACACUCGGUUUUAUCUAAAUCCUCAUACAUUUCUCUUUUCUGUUACAGCUUAUAGUAGACUUGUGGUCUACAUAUCAAUGCAAGAUGGUCAAAAGUGGAAGCUGUUAUUACAAUAAAACAGACGGUAUGACAAUAACAUAUCCUAUCCAAGCCAGAUACAUAGUAGAACAUAGCGCGACUUACAAUGAAGUAGAAUUUUAAGUGCUUUUUCUGCUUGGAGGAAGAAAAUUUACCGAUAUUACGAAAAUGUCAUGAGUACGUCCACCGAAGAAAAUCCAUCUUAAUUUCUCUUCUUAUGUUACAGGUAGGAGGAGACGAGGAGCCAGGGGGUCUACAUUUGAAGCUACUAUCCAAAACCGAGUCGAUCAUAGAAACAGGGGAUGCACACUAUCUUUUGAUGUUCCACCAAACUUGGGACUUGGGAGAGAACUUGGUGGCUUCGGCGUUCUGGGUGGUUGAUGAAUGCUUAUGUAAGGGAUAGUUAAGAGUUGAUGCUGUUAAUAAAAAUAUACUCCUUCUGGUCCAUAAUAUAGGUCAUUUGACUUUUUACAUGUAGGUCGUCACGUAACUUUAGGUGUUUUGACCACAUAACAAAUAUGAAUAUUUUUAUAAUUUUCUUUUUCUAAAUAAAAAUAUAAAUGUUAUAUUUUAAUUUAGAAAAAAAAAAUUACAAAAAUUUUGAUAUUUGCUAUGUGGUCAAAGCAUGUUACGUGUAAAAAGUCAAACGACCUAUAUUAUGGACCAAAGGGAGUAACACACAGGGUAUGACAAUCAGGUAUACUAUCAGGCUUACGGCAGAUAGUGGAGUGGGUGACAGUGCAAUCCACGGGGAAAUACACAAGGGGAUGACAUCUUAUGAUUUCUCAUCUCAAUUAGUAUCAUAUUAUUUUGUGCAAAUUUUGUAAGCCAAUUACGUACAUAUAACACUAACCUAAUGUAUGCCAUCUUUUUAUAACCGUUGGUAGUCAUCCAACGAGAGUUUUACAGCGAAAUGUUUUGGCAUUUUUAAAUGUUAUUCUGGUUUGGUGAAGUUUCAUUUGGUAGUUGCUUGCUUGUUUCAUUGAUUCAUUAGUAUUUUGCAUGGGUCUUUCCCCUCUUUGAUGAGUAGCUUGAGCACGAGCACGAGUCCGUUGACUGAUUUCAAAAUUAUAAUUUUAAUAUGAUAAUUUAGUAGUUUAAAAUGUAUGUUUGAAUAAUUUUGAUUUACUAAUGAUUUAUAAGUCAUUAAAUUGGUAGUAAAAAAGAUGAUUUAUGAAUAAAUUAUGACUUACGGAUAAUUUUUAUAAAAAGAAAUUUUACAAAAACUAAAUUACUCAAGAAAAUAUGUCUAAUUAAUUUUUAGAUUUAAGUUUCUAACUUAUUUAUGAUUUUCAAUAACUUAUUUAUGGCUCUCAGCCGUUUCAGACUUAUUAUUCUAAUAGAUAUUUUUCAAUUUAAAUUAAGAAAUAACAACUUUAUUAAAUGAAAAAGUUUAAGAUUAACAUGUGUGUUGGGCGCUGUUACAGUAUGUUUAUUUCAACAUGAUUUCUACAAUCUACAUGCAUGCAAUAUUUUCAUGAUAAUUUUAUAAUAUUUUUCUUUUUAUUAAACACUAAAUUCAAUAUAUAAUAUAUCAAAUCGAGGUGAAUAUUAAUUAACUAUGAUAUGGUACCAUCAAAACACACUAAAAAUUUUAUUUGGGUUGCUUUUGUAAGAGUCAAGUAGCGGUUUGACCUUAUUUUUUUCUGACUCGGCUCGUAUUUGUUCGUGAACCAUCUCGUGUUCGGCUUGUUAGUUAACUAGCUCGAGCUCGAACACAAUUUUUUGUUCGAUAAGAAAGUUCGGCUCAGCUUGAUACGAAAAAAUUUAAAGCUCGGUUUAGCUCUGUUUGUAACCAGCCCUAACUUAUAUUAUUGCGAAGAGUAGUAUGAAUUUGGGCAGCGGUAAUUACAGAAAGUUUCCUUGUCGAUAUACUCAUUUUAAUUGUAUAAACUGUUCUGAUAGUUCAAGUAAAUUGUAACCGACUCUUUGAAUAUAAAAACACAGAGCUUUCAAGAUCAAUUUAUAAUUCCAACUUCAACAUCAAAAUGGAAAAAGAAAUUCUGAGCAAAAAGAUUCGCAAAAACAAGAUGAUAAUCAGCCAGAGAGAGCAUUAUUGUUAUAUCCUUGCAUAAUUGUCGAGUUUUCUUUUUUAUAAUAAAACUGGCAACUUUUUAUUAGAAUUGAAUUAAAUUAACUUUUUAUUAGAAUAAAUUGCAUUAUUGUUAUAUCAUUAAUUUUUAUUAGCAUUAGUUUCAUUUAUAACACCCAGGGGCGUAGCCACAGCCACGCUUGAGGGGUCACUUGAACCCAUAAAAUUUUUAAUUUUAUCUAUAUAAUUAUUGUUAUAAUAAAUUUUGAACCCAUAUUAAAAAUUGACUCGAUCCCGGUUCUCACUGUGAACAAAAAAAAAGUAGCUAAGUAGUAAAACCCAGUUGCAAAUCUUAACCUAUCUUUCACCUGGUACUUUAUAAUAUUCAUCCUAGUCCCCUCUAAAGCACUAAGUCACUAACCCAUUUUAUUAAAAUAUAACUCUCUCUUUCUAUUUUGUACUCACAGUCGCCCAAGACUCCACCUCCGUUACUUUACUCAUUUACUCUUGCUGGUUGCUGUCGCUUAUAUGUUCCUCCAUUUGUCUCAUUGGGUUCUUUACAUUAUUUUUUGGCACACAUUUUGAGCCUUUUAUAAAAUACAUUUACAUAAUACAUUUUUUUUAAAAAAAUUCCUAUAAAAAGUUUGACGUUUAAAUGUUUAAUCAGAAAAAAUAAUUAAAAAUACGUUAUGCUUUACAAGAGACUCAAAAUGCAUGCAAACAAUGUACGUAAAUAAUCUGGCGGGACGGAGGGAGUAUAAUAUUUUGACCCCAGUUUAUGAAUUUUCUGGCUACGCCCCUGAUAACACCUAUAUUAUAUAUUAAAUAUUAAUUGAUCCCAUCAUUUAUUCUCUUUUCUUUUUUUUCUUUAAAAGAAUUUACUCAAUUUUCUUCCUUAAAUUAUAUUUUUUAUUAGACGCCAUGCCACCUAUAUGUAUAUAACUCCACAGGAUGUCGAGUAAUUUUUUAGGGUAUGUACAGAAAUACCACCCUUUCAAAAAUUUAACAAACUUUGCCCGAACGAAGACAGAGGUGGAGGGAUCAGAGUGUAGGAGAGACGUCUAGUAGGAAAAAUAACGCGUCUGAUAUGCGUCUGCUACUUUGAAACAAUAUUAUUAUUUUACUAUUGUAGCCUGCAGGCCAGACCCAUUUUUGUAUUUAAAACACACUUGGGAAGACUUGGAUCAAAACACAGGUAAAAGAAAGACUUCAAGUAUACAGAGCGCAUCAGGUGGAGAGACCUUCUUAGUUGAAUCAAUGGCUUUUGUGUUAUGGGAAACGUUGAAAGAAUCAAUCUCAGCAUACGCAGAUCUCUCACCUGUGACUUUGCUUACAUCUCUAACCUUGGGACUUGCCUUGUUCUACGCUAUUUGGGUGAUGUUGAGGCCUUCUGCUCAGCCACAGCAGCAAGUCUCAGUGGUGAAAGACAAGGAUGAAGUUACAGUGGAUACCACAACUAGUCAAUUAGCAUCUGUCACCUCAUCCCCUCUAUGGGAUGUCUUUUUGAGUUUUCGUGGCCAAGACACUCGCGGAAAUUUCAUUUCACAUCUUUACCAUGCUUUGGAUCAGGCAGGGAUCGUAACCUUCCUAGACGAACCUGCACUUGAAAAGGGUGAAGAAAUUUCAAGAGGACUGCCUGAAGCAAUCAGAAAUUCUAAGAUUUUUGUAGUUGUUAUCUGAUAGAACGAUGCUGAUUCGUCGUGGUGCCUUGAUGAGCUUGUACAGAUCCUGAGUUGCAAGAGAACAAACAAUCAGGUAGUUAUUCCCGUAUUUUACUAUAUUGAUCCAUCACACCUACGACACCACAACGGGAGUUUCGGUGCAGCUCUUAAAAAGCAUGAGAAGCGUCACUCUGUUGAUAGGAUUCACAAGUGGAAAUCUGCACUUACUGAAUUCGCAGAUUUAUCAGGAUAUCAUUUGAAAGACACGAAAGAAGAGUAAGUACCUCUACGAUGAGUUCUUUAUCUAUCUAAUAAUACCGUCUGUUUUUUUAUUAAUGUUCGGUUAUACUUUCUGUAAACACAUGACAUGCUUACUGAUUAAAGGAAUUGCGACGCAGAACAUUAUAUAUUAUUUAUAUAAGCAAAGGAUUACAACUGUGUAUAUUGUACUAAAUUUAACAGGAGGGAAGCACAUACAGUUCAACAUAUUGUUGAGGAUGUAUUGUCACAAGUACCAACAAAGGCUGUGCACCUUGAAAGAUGUCUAUUUGGGAUAGAUCUUGCUGUCGAAGAAAUAUAUCAACAGCUAAGCAUCGAGUCAAAUGAUGUUCGCGCCCUUGGAAUAUGUGGGAUGGUGGGAUUGGGAAAACGACUAUAGCCAAGGCCUUCUACAACAAGUAUGCCCACGAAUUUGAUAUAAGUUGUUUUAUGGAAAAUGAAAAACAGAAUUCACAAGGAGCUAGUCCUCCACUUUCUUUACUUCGCCAACUCUUGCAAGAGCUUCUCAGAGUGAAGGAUUUGAAGGUACGUGAUUAUGGAAGUGCACUACGUAAAUUGGAAAAAAUUAUCAGUUCUAAGAAAGCACUCAUUGUUCUUGAUGAUUUAGACCAGUAUAGCUGUUCAGAAUUGCUAGUACGGAUUUACCAGCAGUUUUCAGUUGGUAGCAGAGUCAUUUUUACGGCAAGAGAUACAAACCUUCCAAAUCAACUGAAAGUGGCGAUGUCAAAUGUAGACAUAUAUAUGGUGAAGCAUUUGGAUCACACGGAUUCAUUGAAGCUCUUUAGCUAUCAUGCUUUUAACAUAUCAAAGCCUCCCGGAAAAUACUUAGAUCUGUCAGAAUGUUUUGUCAUGUACACGGGAGGCCUUCCACUAGCUCUAAAGGUGUUGGGUUCGUCUUUGUGCGGUAGAACAGAUGUUUCAUUUUGGAAAGUUAAAUUGGAAAAGGUUAAAAAAAUUCCAUUGAAAGAUAUUCAAAAAGUCCUUCAACUGAGUUACGAUGAAUUAGAAGAUGAAACGGUGAAGGCUAUUUUCCGUUAUAUUGUAUUCUUCUUCGUGGAUAAGAACAUAAAUGAGGCUAUCGAUGUAUUCAAAUCCUGUGGUUUUUUUCCGGAAGUUGGGAUACCAAUUCUAGUUGAAAGAUCUCUGCUAACCAUUGAUUUAGCUAAAAGACUUCAAAUGCAUAAUCUUAUACAAGAUAUGGGAAGGAAAGUCAAAGAAUCCAAACAUGGGCUCUUGUACUUGGAUCAGGAAGAAGCUUCCCAGACUUUGCCAAAUACAACGGUGAACAAAAUGCAAAUUUUUUUAUUCUCUUAUGAGAUAACAUGCAUGCUUUUUCUAAAUAUAGAAUUAUUUAACUCAAUUAUUAAUUCUAUACUAAUAAAUAAGUCACUAAUUCAUUCAUUUAUUGAUAAACUGUAUGAUUAAACUUCAAUUUAUAAAAGGGAUAAUUAAUUUAUAGGUCCUUGAACUUUGACCCAUUUUUGGUUCGCGUCCUUGAACUAAGUUUGUCAACGUGCGCAUCCUUAAACUUUGUAAAUUUUCAACUCAGGUCCCUCCGUCAGUUUUUAACUAACGGACGUUAUCUUAAAUUUGGGGGUUUUUGAUUCGUUGAUGGAUUGAUGAAACUGAUGGCAUGGGAAGUUUCGGGAGGUCAAACUGAAGAGAUUCAUGUAGGUUUCGAUGGCGGAGGAUUGCCAAAAUGGUAGCCGGAAUCAAUGGCCAUUUUCCGGCCGCCGGAGAGAUUGUCACCAUUCUGGCAAUCCUCCGCCAUCGAAACCUACAUGAAUGUCUUCGGUUUGACCUCCCGAAGAUUCAUAUACCAUCACUUUCAUCAAUUCAUCAUCGAAUCGAAAACCCCCAAAUUCAAAACCCUAAUUCACUAACUUCCGUUAGUCAAAAACUGACAGAGGGACAUGAAUUGGAAAUUUACAAAGUUUGAGGAUGCGCAUAUUGACAAACUUAGUUCAAGGACGCGAACCAAAAAUGGACCAAAGUUAAAGGACAUAUGAAUUAAUUAUCCCUUUAUAAAAUGACAACUUAUUUCCCACAUUUACGUAUUUUUAAGAAAUAUGUAUUAAAAUAGUGUUUAAUAUUACUUAUUUUCCAACAGUAGAAGUAAGUAUUUAUUUCUUAAAAAAAUAAAUUCUUACAUUAUAUUUUUUUAAAAGAAGUAUGAACUUUUAGAAAAUAAGGUUAUAUUCAAAAAAUAUUACUAUUAACUAAUAUUUAAUUUAUAUGUUUUUUAACCUUAUGCAAAGGUGAUUCUUAGAGUACAAUUUCUCACUUUGGCUACUACCUGUUAAUGAACAUUUAGGACAUGGAUAAAAUUGAAGCCCUGGUUGUAGAUUGUACAACGUCAAUCAACAAAUACUGCAAUGCCCAGCUAUUUGAAAGGUUGCCAAAUCUCAGAUUAAUAAAACUAGUUGAUGUAUAUGAUAUCAAAGGAAAAAUCAAAGUUUCAUUUCAUGAGUUGAGGUACAUCAGUUGGCAUGGCUGUCCCUGGACCCAUUUACCUUAUGGUGUUCAUCUACAAAAACUUGUCGUUUUAGACAUGCCAUUCAGCAGAUUUGAAACAUUGUGGAAGAUUGCUAAGGUAUGAAAUCAAAUAUCUUAACUAUUUCUCUCUCUUGCUCAUGUGUUAUAUGCACAAGCUUUAUAUGUCCUUGAUUCGCACACAUUAAGAUUUUUUUUAUAUGUUAUUGAGGGCACGAGCAUGCUGAUAUUUUAGGCCCCUUUUUAUUGAGUAUUUAUAUUUUGGUCAAAUGUUGUUGAAAAUUGAUGAUCUUGGCUAGGCAUUCACCCCAAGAAUUUAAUUAAUCUCUUAUAAAUAUAUAUAUGUUGCUCCACUUCCAAUAAAAUAUAUAUCACAUUGGUGCUACUUUACCUGUAGAGUAUCAUCAUAAUACUCAAUUAGUUGUGACAUAUCAUCAUAUAUAAUAAUCUUCUAAUUAGUUGUGACAUAUCAUCAUAUAUAAUAAUCUUCUAAUUAGCUGCUAUUCUUUUCAUUGUCCAUAUGACAGAUAGUUUAUUACUGUGUUAGGUUUGGUCUCUGUUGUUAUAGUCUGGUGCAAACAUGUUUUUAUUGCUUAAGUGAAUCAUUGAUGUGAGUAAAGUAUCACAAUGAUAUUACUCUAUUAGUGGGGUAUCUUCUUGAUAUUCAACGUGGCGUCUCAUCUUCAUACUCCUCUAACAAUGAAGUAUCUUUUCGAUCUUUCUUGAUGAAAAUUGGAUAAUUUGACUGGACAUUCACCAAGACCUUAAUUAACGUAUAUUUGUCGAACAUUUUUGAAAAUUAGAUAUGUUGACUGUAAAAAGUUAUUUUGUUAUAAAUGCUUAGAUGAUGUAAUUAAUUAUAUAAUCAUUAGUAAUCAACAUAUUAUGUAUCAAUCAUAUUAUAAAUAAAAUAAUAUCUUAUAUAUAAUCAGACAUAUUAAUUACAAUCUAUUAUUUAUAUGUAUUAAUAAAGCAUGUCUACAAAUUAAUUACAUAUUUAAUUAUGAAUCGGUUAAUAUUUCAGAUAUUAUCAUGUGUAUUAAUUACAAGUUAUUAAUUAUAUAUAUGAAUUAAGUAAAUGGUUAAAAGAGUAAUUUUUAUAUGAAUAAAAUGAAGUAUGUUAGGCUAUAUAUAAUAGAUAGUUGUUGCAUUAAUUAGGAUUCCAAAAAUUAAAAUGACUCAAAAUUUAUUAUUUUUCUGACAUCAGCAACCACGUGCGAUAAAAUGUUGUGUAUUUUACUUAUCUAUUUAUUGAUAAUUUCUAAAAGAGUAAUUAGAAAUUUAAAUGAUCUUAUAAUUCGUUUUAACACAUAAUUAAAAAAAAUGACAUACAUAAUUAUAAUAUUAUAUAAAUUAAAAGUAAUUAGGAUUUCAAGAAAUAAAAUGACUCAAUAUUUACAUUUUUUUUAAUACCAACGCCUACAUGUGACAAACAUUUUCUCAUCUAUUUGUUCAUAAUUAAAAGCAUCUCGGGAAUAUGUAUAAUGGUUGGUUAUAUUGAUUAGUUAAAUUGAUUAUAUAAUUUCUUUGAUGAGGGGACAUGUAUAUGCUCCAAUGAGAUUAUCUAUAAUAAUGCUCGUGGAAAAUUAUAGCUAAGAGCAUCUCCAACCAUGAGAAACCGUUAGCUAAAAGCUUAGUUGGCAUAUCAAAAAUAAAAAUUAUAAUCAACGCCUUCAAAAAGCGACACUCUAAUCACACCCACCCCUACAUGUCGAUCCACUACAUGUCUGUAAGAAUAUUACACAUCACUUAUUACCAUAUUAAAGUGAUAGAUUCUAUUUAUAACAAUCUAAAAUAUUGAUAACAUACUAUUUUUAAAUUAUAGCCAACCAAUAUAGUUAAUACCAUCGAAACAAAAUGUUUUACAGGUUCAGUAAAUUUUACAUAAUGUUCUACGGGUCUAAUUUAGCCACCGUUAUAGCCAAUCCCGUUGGAGAGGCUCUAAGGUUGUGUUCACUUGGAGUGAAUGGAAAAGAGGGAGAAUGGAAUGAAUUUUGUACUCUAAAAUGGUGUUGAUCAAAGAAAAUGUAUAUCAUUUUCAUUCCUUCCAUCAUUCCAACCUUACUAUUUUAACUAUAACUUUAACCCACAUGUUUUGGAAGGAAUGCUCAUUCCAUUUCAACAUCAUGUUUCUUCACAAUCUUUCUCACAAAAAAAUUAACUACAUUCAUAUUUUAUCACCAUUAUCUCAUACUUUCUUCUUUCUCUUUAAAACUUGUAUAUAAUUUUUCAUUCCAUUCUCCCCUCAUUCCAUUCCAUGAAGUGAACACAGCCUAAGGCUUUACUUGGUUCGACAAAUAUAACCACUCAAACAUGGUAGGCUAUAUAUUUUGCUAAGGGAUGAAGGGUUGGAGUUGUUUAAUUUUUAGAUAAUCUUUGUAAGUGUCAUGUAGAUGAUACCUAGAUGCCACAUAGAGAAUUUUAGCAAAGGACUGAUCUUAUAAUUCUAAUAACAUUGUUAUUAGAAACUAAUCUUAUUAUUCUACAAGAUUUUAGUAAAACCUGUUCCCUUUGUCUCAUUCGAUUGUAUGCGUUAUUUUUUUUGCACCCAUUUUAAGGCUUUUGCAAACUGUAGUUUCAUAAUAUUUUUAAAUUUAUUCUUUCCUGAAUAAAAGUUUGAUAUUUAAACUUUUAUUUGAAAAAGAUAAUUUUUAAAAAAAUUCAAUACGUGCACUAGUAAAUGUAUACUGCCACCGGACGGAGAAGUAGCCCUUAUUUCUGAUUAAGAAUUCAUUUAUGGGUGUAUUGAUCGGACAGUUGUCAUCUUUGCGUCAUUUGAAUUUGGAAGGAUGCAUUUACUUGAAGGAAUUGCCAGAUUCAAUUGGGCACUUGACUGGUCUAUACCAUUUGAAUCUCAAUGAUUGUGUAAAACUAAAACGACUUCCCAAACCCAUCACACAAUUGACUACUCUGAGUUGUUUGAAUAUGAGUGGUUGGAGCAAUCUGAAACAAUUGCCGGAGCAAUUGGGCGAAUUGAAAGGCUUAAAGAGGCUUAAUGCAAGUUGUACAGCAAUAGAGCAACUGCCAGAUUCAAUUGCUCACUUGAAGAAAUUAGGUUAUUUGGAUUUGAGGGACUGUAAGAAUCUUACGGGGGUGUAUUCGAUUGAGAUUUUAAUGGAUUGUUUUUAGUUCAUGGAUUUUAAUGGAUUGUGUGUGAUUUUGAUUUUGUGCGGAUUCUUGAUAAAAUGUCGCAGAGUUUAUAGGAUUUAAGCAGAAUGCUUCGAAAUCCCAUUGAUUUUGGUGGGAUUUCAAAAAACUUAAAAUACACUGAAAAAUGCCACAAAAUCCAUCAUUUUAUGAAAUCCAAAAAAAUCCAUCAGCAUUUGAAUACCUUCAGAUUUUAAUGGAUUUUAAACAAUCCUAAUUGAAUACCAUCGGAUUUUAAAGCAUAAUUUAAAAUCCCAAUUGAAUACCACCAGAUUUUGUUGCAUAAUUUAAAAUCCCAAUCGAAUACCUCAAUAUUUUAAUGGAUUUCAAACAAUCCUAAUCGAAUACCCUCGGAUUUCAUGAAUGCAAAAAAAUGUUUUAAAAUCCCAGUCCAAUACACCCCUCUUAGAAAGUUACCUGAGCAGUUUGGGAACAUGGAAGGCUUGGUGUACUUUGAUGCAGGUGGCAGUGCAAUCGAACAACUGCAAGACUCGUUUUCAGACCUGCUUAAUUUGGUCCAUCUGAAUCUGAGAGGAUGUUCAGAGCUGAAGAGAUUGCCUGAGCAGUUGGGGAAGAUGCAAUGUCUAGAAUUCCUAGAUGCAUCUCAUACAGCAAUUAAAGAAUUACCGGAUUCUAUUGGAUCACUGCCUAGGAUAAAAGUGUUGGGUCUCGCCAAGUGCGAGAAGCUUACGUAUGUCCCAAAUAGCAUCCGCAAUCUUAAAUCAAUUGGAAGCUUAUAUCUUAGCACCUGUGAGGACAUAGUAGAAAUUGAGUUGAUUGAGAAUGUGAAAGAUAUGAACUUGCAGCACCUGGGUCUGAGUUGUAAUAUAAGACUUUGGUUGCCCAUCAUUCUAAGCUUCUCUUCUCUGAUAUCAUUAAGUCUCCGUGAUAAGUGCGGGAGCCCCUCCCCAACCAAACCCUUUAGUUUCUUUCAGCUUUCCAACCUUACAUUUUUUACUUUGACUAACAGUACAACUCAUGGUUCCUCCUUUCCCGAACUACCACUCAAUUUAAGAAGCUUGCAGGUAGAAAGCCACGCUUCUCUAGAACAAGUACCUGAUUUGUCCUACCUCAAACACUUGAAGGAUUUGUACAUAGUCAAAUGCUGCAGCCUUCAAUCUCUCCACAAACUUCCACCUCAUCUUUCACGCCUUACAGUUACUGGAUGUACAAGCCUACAAGACUUUCCAGAUGUGUCAAUGUUGAGAAAUUUAGAACAACUGGAAGUUACUCACAACGGCAGCAAUUUAAAAGUCAAUUUAGAGGAAAAUGACAUUCAGGUUUGUGGUGUUUUUGGUCUUUCUCUUCCAAUAAUACUCCCUCUGUUUUUUAAUAUAUGAUUUUUGACUUUUUGGCACACAUUUUUAAUGUUUUGACCGGUUAGUUAAAGGUAUUAUUUUUGAAAUUUUCCUUGUUCUGAAUAAAAAUAUAUAAUCAAAAUUUGAAUUCACAAAAAAAAUCAAUUAAAAAUGAAGUAAUAAUUUUUACUAUCCGGUUAACUCACUUAAAAGUACGUGCCCAAGUCAAGAAUCACAUAUAAAAAAAACAGAGGGAGUACUUUGUACAUAUUAAAUCCAUCUCCAUUUCUCUUUUUAUGUUACAGCUAAGAAGUAACCGGUGGUUUACAUUUGAAGCAACUGUACCAAACAAGGAAAUUGCAGAGUGGUUCGACUAUAAAAACAGGGAAGGCUGCACACUAUCUUUUGAAGUUCCCCCAAACUUGGGAGAUGACUUAGUGGGUGUCGCCUUCUGGGUCGUUCAUAAAUGCUCCUGCGACGGAUGGUCAAUAGUUGAAACUGUUAUUACAAAUAAAACACAGGGUAUGACAACUGCCUUGCGCACGGAUACUCAUUAUGGUACAAAGGGUGACCUACAAUCAUCUGUACAUUCCAUUAAGGCAGAGCACAUCUCAAUAAAGAGCGGAGACAAAAUUAUGAUUUCUUAUCCUGAAGCAGAGGUGAGUGUGUGUGGCGCUCACAUACUAAAACGCCCUUCCGGCCUAGUCAAAUAAAAUGUUGUCUAAUUUUUUUGCCAGAAAGUAUUGUAUAAUUACAAAGCUUAAAGUUGGGUAAUUCAUCAAAAUUGAAAAUACCAAAUCUAUAAUGUUUAUUCAUCUUGGUAUAUAUAUUACCGAUAUGCACAUAUUUUUUUGGAGAGGUUUUCUUUUUUGACAAAAUGCAGAUUUCAUUACUCCAUAUCAUACUGAGUACAAUCUCUAACAUUAACCGGAACAGAACUCCAGUCAAACAUACGAUCAGGAUACAUAUGAGACAUAUGGGCAAGUUCGUUUAUUCGUAGAUCGUUUAAUAGAAUACAACUUAAAGUUGUUUGCCUCCUUUAUUAACGCCCUACAAUCUUGAACUACUUGACCAAUACUGAAUACAACUUCUGAUGAUCUGAACGACUAUCAGGUAGUCAGAUUCGAUGAUAACCGUAGUCCAUCCCAUAUUCUUCAUCCAACUUAGGGCCUCUUUGAUUGCCAAAGCUUCUGCCAAUGUAGGAUUCAAAACUUCUGAAUAGAUUUUGGUCAUAGCAUGAAGCAGAUAACCACCCUGAACCCGAGCAACAAUACCUAUACCUAACAACCCUUAUCUUUGAAGAUUACUGCGUCAACUGUGAUCUUCACUUCAUGUUGUGGCUUAACCCAACAGGUGACACCAUUUCCUAACAUUGGAGGCUGAAAAGGUGCAAAUAUCUUAUUUAUGUAAAUCAAUAAAAUGUGUUCAAGUAUUGUAAAAUUUACCAGUUAAUAGAUUUAUUCUUAAAAAGUGGUUUACCAAUUCAAAUUUAAAAAUUUUGUUAAUCAUUUUAUAUUGUUCUAUACCAAGUAUAAUAGGUUUUUUUUGUCAAGAAAUAUAAUAGGUUUUAUAAAUGAAAUAUUAUUACGUUUUAAUAUAAUCGAUUAUUUUUUUAAAAUAGUUUGAUUAAACAUUGUGAGCCACUGGGUUCAAAACUUUAAUAUAUUUUUUAUAUUUUUAUUUUUUGUUGUUACACUUCUGAUAACCCCAUGAUUAAUACAUGUUCUCCAUAUUCAAUUGAUUUUGGGCUCAAAUCUUAGUAAUUCUGUUUUAAUAUAUUAUAUGUUUCUUACCAAAACAUAUAUAUUUAUCUAAUUAAUUAACUCAAAUCACUUUCAGUUAAAUGAAAAACCGACCUCUAAAAAAGAUUUUUUUUAAUAUGAUUUUUGUUCCAAUUUAAUUAGAUUCCUGGAUCCGUCCCUACAUGACUUCUACCGUAUAAACUAGAACUAUGUAAUGCAAUCAGAAAUCGAUGAUGCAGUCUGAUGCAGUCAGUAUUCUUUUAUACUAGCUGGACAAAUAUAUGAUAUCAGUAAUAUUAGUCGUGUCCACCAGCUACAGAGCAAUUUCUCAGCUAUUCCAAACUACUUUUUUAAAUUUAAUAUAAAAAUAGAGUCUAAUUCAUUUUAUAAUUUGAUACAGCAUUAAAAAGAUUUAGUCAGUUCACUUGGUAACAUACAGCAAGUUUGUUUCAUUAGGAGACUUGCCUGUGCUAUACUAUACUGAUAUAUUCAACUUUAUUUUAGGAAACGUUUGGUAAAUUAUUUACUUUUUGUGUCUCAUUCAAUUCUAUACGGUUUUCUUUUUUGAAUGUCGCCGUUUUUAUACAUUUAAUAAAUAAUAACUUUUAAUAGUAUAAAAAAUUAUUACACCCAUUAUUUUCCUCCACUAUCUACAUUAUAUAACAAUACAAGAGCAGUGAAGAAAUGUGCUCCAAAGGGGUUAUGUAUAAUUAUGAUAAAAUAAUAUUAUACAUAAAAGGUAUAUUGAUUCAACAAAAAUAACUCAUCAAAUAUGUUUUUCUAUAUUUUAUUGUUAAUGCGUGAAUGGUUGGAGUGUUUCAAAUUUUGCGUAUUCUCUAAACAUGUCAACUAGAUGAUACAUAGAUUGCCUGAGCAGUUGGGGAAGAUGCAGUGUCUAGAAUCGCUUUAUGCUUUUAAUACAGCAAUCGAAGAAUUACCGGAUUCUAUUGGAUUACUUCCUAGGAUACAACGGUUGCAUUUUGAUGAAUGCCAUAAGCUAACAUAUGUUCCGAAUAGCAUCUGCAAUCUUAAAUCACUUGCAAGCUUAUAUCUUACCACCCGUGAGGACAUAAUAAAAAUUGAUUUGACUGAGGCCAUGAAGGAUAUGAACUUGGAGGACUUGCGUCUGAGUUGUAAUAUAAGAGUUUGGUUGCCCAUCAUUCUAAGUUUUUCUUCUCUGACAUAUUUACGCCUCCGUGAUGAGUGCGGGAGUCCCUCCCCAACCAAACCCUUUAGUUUUUCUAAGCUUUCCAACCUUGACGUACUUUCUUUGACUAACAGUUCAAGUCACGGCUCCUCCUUUCCCGAACUACCACCAAAUUUAAUAUUGUUGGAGGUAGAGAACCACGCUUCACUAGAACAAGCACCUGAUUUGUCCUACCUCAAACACUUGAAAGAAAUCUCCAUAAGGAGAUGCUGUAGCCUUCAAUCUGUCCAGAAACUUCCACCUCAUCUUUCAAGCCUUACAGUUACAGAUUGUACAAGCCUACAAGAGUUUCCAGUUCUGUCAAUGUUGAGAGAUUUAGAACUACUGGAAGUUACUGGCAACGGCAGCAAUUUAAAAGUCAAAUUAGAGGAAAAUCACCUUCAGGUUUGUGGUGUUUUUGAUCUUUCUCUUCCAAUAAUAAUACUUUGGACAUAUUAAAUCCAUUUCCAUUUCUCUUUUUAUCUUACAGCUAAUUAGAAGAGACUGGGGGUCUACAUUUGGAGCAACUCUACAAAACAAGGAAAUUGCAGAGUGGUUCGACUAUAAAAACAGGGGAGGCUGCACACUAUCUUUUCAUGUUCCCCCAAACUUGGGAGAUCACUUCGUGGGUGUCGCCUUCUGGGUUGUUUAUAAAUGCUCCUAUGAUGGAUGGUCAGCAGUUGAAGCUGUUAUUACAAAUAAAACAGAGGGCAUGACAACUGCCUCGCACAGCAAGGGUAUUAAUUCUGGCAGAAAGGGUGACGUGCUAUCAUUUAUACAUUGCAUAAGGGCAGAGGACAUCUCAAUGAAGAGCGGAGACAAAAUUAUGAUUUCUUAUCCUGACGGAGAAGUUAAUAUGUGCGGGGUUCACAUACUAAAAUAGCCUUCCAAGAAGAGCCUAGCGACAGAGCCAAGUAAAAUGUUGUAUAAUUUGAUUUUGUAAAGAAUAUUACAGAAUCCUAAUUUUACUAGUGUCCUGGUGCUGCAGAACUUCUUCAUCUCUCCUGAAGCUACAAAACUCUAUUGUUCAUAAUCCUUUUCUUUGUUGUAAACAGAACUGAUCAUGUUUGUUUUAUUUGUUGUUAUCUUCAUCUCUUGUACUUAUCACACUCUCCUGUAAACUCUAUAUAUAGGGUGUUCUGAUUAAUAGUAAGUAAGUAAGUUUACAGCCUAUUGUGUGUUCUUUUUCUUUUAUGGUAUCAGAGCUACCCUGUCUAAAGACAUAUAAUACGAUCAUAUGGCAAACACUAGCUCACCAUCCCAAGAAACACCAGAACACUCUAGUGCAAAAUCUAAAAAUACUGAUGCUUCAGUAACACAUCUAACCAAAACCACUAUGCUCUCUCUUAAUGGUGAUCAACUUAUUGCCAUCAAUUCUCAUCAACAAAUUCCCAUAUCUCUCACUGCAAAAAAUUAUCCCUCGUGGCGAAACCUUAUUGUUUCUUUGUUUAAUGGUUACAAUCUCCUUGGUUAUCUAGAUGGUUCGACUUCUUCCCCUCCGCUGGGCGAAAAUGGAAUAUGGACGGAUGCCUACACUCACUGGUUCCGUCAAGACCAAUUAAUUUUGUCAGCCUUGCUUGGUUCCUUAUCAGCCGAGGUUAUGCCUUUGGUAGCUGCUGCGAAUACCUCACAAAAGGUAUGGUCUAUUUUAUCACAUUUGUAUGCGACUAAGUCACGCACUCGGGUACUUCAACUCAAGGAAGACCUUACACUUGCAACUAUUGGCAACAUGUCUGUUGCGGAAUUUUUACAACACAUAAAGUCAAAGACCGAUGAAUUGGCAAUUAUCGACAAGCCUGUGUCCGAUGAUGACUUUACUUUGUAUGUCUUAACUGGACUUGGUGCAGCUUACAGGGAGAUAGCUGCUCCUAUUCGUGCUAGAGAACAUUCUCUUUCUUUUGAGGAAUUACAUGAUCUUCUUGUUUCUUAUGAAGCCUCCAUGAAGCGGUAUGAGGCUGCAACAACAAACUUGGUGGCAACAGCAAAUAAUGCAGUUCAUUCUGCAGCAACGCGCCCAAGAAACAAUAAUUCUCGGAAUUAUGGCUCUAAUGUCAAUCGCUCCAACAAUAACCAAGGAGGUAAUUAUCAUGAUAAUUAUCGUGAUAAUCGUUUUAAUAAUUCUGGCAGGGGGCGUGGGCGCAAUUAUUAUCAAAACAGAAGUGCUUAUCAAAACUCCAAUAACCAAAAUAAUCAAAAUCGACAAUCUGUCGUAUGCCAAUUUUGUGGAAUCCCAGGCCAUGUUGCAAGACAAUGCAAUAAGGUCCAAUUUACUGCCAAUGCUGCAUUUACACCACCUCGUACCAGUGAUUCUACUCAGUGGUUAAUGGAUUCCGGAGCUUCUCAUAACCUUACUUCUGAUCUCAACAAUCUUUCGAUUCAUUCAGAAUAUACCGGAACAGAUGAAGUUCAAAUUGCUGAUGGUUCAGGUUUGCCCAUAACUCACAUUGGCAAUACAACAAUUUCUCAUCCUUCACGUAAUCUUUUGUUGUCAAAUGUCCUAUGUGUUCCUUCUGCUCAGCGAAAUUUAUUAUCUGUUCAUGAAUUUACUAAGGCAAAUAAUGUUUUUAUUGAGUUUCAUCCAUGGAAUUUUAUCGUGAAGGAUCGGGCAUCCGGGGAGAAGUUACUCCAAGGCAAGUGUGAUCAGGGUAUCUAUCAACUUGGGCUCUCUUUCAGCAGCUCUUCCAGGCCUGUUGCACAUAUAGGAGUUCGAGCAUCUGCAACUUGUUGGCAUAAUCGGUUGGGCCAUCCCAAUUCUAGUUUAUGUUCUAGUAUUAUUCGUAGUUUUCAGUUACCCAUUUGUUCAGCUUCUUCAAGCAAACAAUUGUCCUGCAUUUCUUGUCAUAUUAAUAAAAGCCAGCAGUUGCCUUUUAAAGAAACUUCUCUUUUCAGUUCUUUAUGUCUGGAAUUUAUUUAUGCGGAUGUUUGGGGUCCAACUCGUGUGACUUCUAUUGAUGGUUAUCGCUAUUACUUCAUUCUUGUGGAUCAUUAUACGAAGUAUGUCUGGCUUUAUCCAAUGCAUCAAAAAUCACAAGUUGCAGAAAUUUUUCCUUUAUUUCAUGUUUUGGUAGAGAAACAAUUUGGCACUAAAAUUAAGAAUUUUUACUCAGACAAUGGGGGAGAAUUUGUUGCACUUAGACGAUAUUUAUCUUCUCAUGGUAUCAGUUGGUAUACUUCUGCACCCCAUACUCCUCAGCAGAAUGGAACUGCUGAGCGACGGCAUCGACAAAUUGUUGCCAUGGGUCGUGCUUUGCUUCAUCAUGCUUUUUUGCCUUCUGAGUUUUGGUCAUAUGCUAUGGAAACAGCUGCUUAUCUAUAUAAUCAUCUUCCUUCUACAGUGUUAAAAGGACGCAGUCCUUUUGAAUCCUUGUUCAACAAAAUUCCAGAUUAUGAAAAAUUACGCAUAUUUGGGUGCCUCUGCUUUCCGUGGUUAAAACCCUACUCAGACCAUAAGCUGCAACCUCCAUCAAGAGAGUGCCUUUUUCUCGGUUAUGCACCUGGUCAAAGUGCUUAUCGAUGUUAUGAUUUAGCAAAUAAACGCAUGUUUAUUUCUAGACAUAUGCGUUUUGAUGAGUUCACUUUCCCUGGACAAACUUUCUUCUCUGCUAAUGUUGGUAAUAUGUUGGGUCAGUCGCAUAAAUGUGUUGAUAUUCCGAUCUCUCCUGUCUCAAUUCGCAAUGUAUCAGCAAAUAAGGGGCCAAACGAGAAGUCACUUUUAACACCGAUGUCACAACUUGUUCCUUCACCGGUACUUGAUCCAUCAUCCAUCCAGCACCAGGAUUCCCUUUCAGCAUCUCCAUCACAUUCUGGUUCAAAUUUGGCCUCUUCUCAGCGUUUAAUUGUACAUUCUCCUCUCCCGCUUGCAGAAUCUUUCGACAAUGUCUCCAUGAAUACCAACCAGCCCCUUGAGCAUGUCAGUGGUGAUACAGGUGUACUUCCUAGUCGCUUACAUUCUAUGACUACUCGUUCCAUGAAUAAUAUUCAUAAGCCAAAAGUGUACCAAUCUUAUACCGCGACGAAACAUCCACUCCCUUCUUCGGUCGAGCCAACAUGUGUUUCUGCUGCUCUCAAAGAUCCUAAUUGGCGUAUGGCUAUGUCAGAAGAAUUUAAUUCUUUACUUCGGCAUGGUACUUGGGAGUUAGUUCCAUCUUCUAUGGCUACAAAUAUUGUUGGUUGUAAAUGGGUUUUUCGAUUGAAACAUAAACCUGAUGGUUCAAUUGAAAAAUAUAAAGCACGCCUGGUGGAGAAAGGAUUUCAUCAACGGCCUGGCUUAGAUUAUACAGAGACGUUUAGUCCGGUUGUCAAACCAGCCACCAUACGUUCAGUUUUAAGUAUUGCUCUCAUGCAUAAUUGGCAGAUUCGUCAACUUGAUGUAAGUAACGCAUUUCUCCAUGGUUCCUUAUCUGAAGUUGUGUUUAUGCACCAACCUCCUGGUUUUGUUGAUCCGAUGUAUCCCUCUCAUGUUUGUCGUUUACGCAAAACAAUUUAUGGUUUACGACAAGCUUCACGAGAAUGGCAUCUGGCUCUUCGCAAAGCACUAAUUGCAUUAGGAUUUAUUCAAUCCCGAUCUGACACUUCGUUAUUUUUAUAUCAUCAUGGUUCUGUUCACUUAUAUAUUUUAGUGUAUGUUGAUGAUAUUUUAUUUACCGGGAGUGAUAAUGCACUGAUUGUCACAAUCAUUAACAAAUUGGGUGCGUCUUUUGCUUUGAAAGAUCUUGGCCAGUUGUCAUAUUUUUUGGGGAUUGAAGUAAUUCAUUGUAAAGAGGGGUUGUUUCUCUCGCAGCACAAAUAUAUCCAUGAUAUCCUGCAUAGACAUCAUAUGGAAGGUGCAAAAUCUGUGUCCACGCCUAUGGCAUCAAUAGAGUGGAAAGGUCAGUCUACAGCUUCGUCCUGUGAUGAAAAACUGUAUCGACAAGCUAUUGGUGAAUUGCAAUAUUUGGCCUUCACUAGGCCUGACAUUGCUUUUGCAGUUAAUCGAUUAGCUCAAUUUGUGUCAAACCCAACCGAAGAACAUUGGAGUGCAGUCAAACGUGUGCUCCGAUAUUUAAAAGGAACUAUUACUCAUGGUUUGCUUCUUACAAGGCGUCCUUCAAAUACCAUAUGUGCUUAUUCAGAUGCCGACUGGGCAGGAAAUCCCACUGAUCGUUCUUCUACAUCAGCCUUUGUUAUUUAUCUUGGAAAUAAUCCUAUCUCUUGGAGUUCAAGGAAGCAGAGGGCAGUUGCGCGAUCAUCAACUGAGGCCGAGUAUAGAUCUCUUGCUACAGCAACUUCAGAAGUUCGAUGGAUCCAGAAUUUGUUUCAUGAGCUCCGUCUUCCAUUGCGUGCUCCACCUAUCUUGUACUGUGACAAUAUAGGAGCUACUCAUCUGUCUUUGCAUCCAGUCAUGCACUCUCGCAUGAAACACAUUUUCAUUGACAUUCAUUUUGUCCGUGAUAUUGUGGCCAAAGGUAUGAUUCUAGUUUCACAUAUUAGCACAAAAGAUCAACUUGCUGACUUACUCACCAAACCCCUACAUCGGACACGGUUUCAAUUCUUAAGAUCCAAAAUAGCCAUUGCUGAUGGCACGGCAAUUUUGAGGUGGCGUAUUACAGAAUCCUAAUUUUACUAGUGUCCUGGUGCUGCAGAACUUCUUCAUCUCUCCUGAAGCUACAAAACUCUAUUGUUCAUAAUCCUUUUCUUUGUUGUAAACAGAACUGAUCAUGUUUGUUUUAUUUGUUGUUAUCUUCAUCUCUUGUACUUAUCACACUCUCCUGUAAACUCUAUAUAUAGGGUGUUCUGAUUAAUAGUAAGUAAGUAAGUUUACAGCCUAUUGUGUGUUCUUUUUCUUUUAAAGAAAGUGUUGAAUAGUUAGAAACCUUAAAAUUAGAUAAUUCAUGAGAAUUGAAAAUCUACCGAAUCAUAACAUUUAUUCCUCUUGGUAUAUAUAUUAUCUGAUAUGCAUAUUUUUUUGGAAUUUUUUUAUCAAUAUCUUAUUCAUGUAAUAUAAUAAAAUGUGUUCAAAAUAUGGUAAAAAUUAGCGAUUAAUAGAUUCAUUAUUAAAACGUGCUUUACUGAUUCAAUUUUACAAAUUUGAUUAAUCAUUUUGUAUUAUUUUAUACCAAAUAGUUCAAGUUUCAUCUGGGCAGGGAUCCACAGAGCCAACGAAGCUCUAAAGAAUGGGUUUAGAUGGGUCAUUGGAGAUGGUAAGGAGGCGGUGGCUGUUCAGGAUCCUUGGCUGCGUAGAAAGCAAGAUCAUCGAGUAGAAAAUAGUCAUAUUUAUCAAGGAAGAGAUAAGAAAGUUGCAGACAUAUUCUUACCAGGUACGAAACAAUGGAAUUUCGAUCGGUUACUCAGAGUGCAGGUCGGUUACUGUUGUUGAAAGUACAGGUUGGGCUAAGCUCUGGAAGGUGAACAUCCCACAUAGAAUGAGGGUCUUCUUACGGAGGUUUUGUAGAAAUACAGUUCCAGUCAGGAAUAGGCUGAGAGGGAAGGGAGUGCAGGUGCCCACUCUUUGUCCGAUGUGUAAUAGCGAUGUUAAACACUUGUUGCAUAUAUUUUUAGAUUGUCAGUGUGUUGCUAGGUGUUGGCGUCAUGCAGGAUUGCAGUAUGACAUGGCAAGCGUUAAGUCUGCUCCGGAGUGGUUGCUUCAAAGUGUUAUUUUAUUGUUAUAGAAUCCUGAUUAAGAAAUUCAGACUCCUCAAAGCAAAAUAGAUGCAUGAGCCACAACUAUGUUUUCUGCUUUUAUGUGUAAAUAUAUAGUGACAAGAUAAAGAGGGCAUACGUAANNNNNNNNNNNNNNNNNNNNNNNNNNNNNNNNNNNNNNNNNNNNNNNNNNNNNNNNNNNNNNNNNNNNNNNNNNNNNNNNNNNNNNNNNNNNNNNNNNNNNNNNNNNNNNNNNNNNNNNNNNNNNNNNNNNNNNNNNNNNNNNNNNNNNNNNNNNNNNNNNNNNNNNNNNNNNNNNNNNNNNNNNNNNNNNNNNNNNNNNNNNNNNNNNNNNNNNNNNNNNNNNNNNNNNNNNNNNNNNNNNNNNNNNNNNNNNNNNNNNNNNNNNNNNNNNNNNNNNNNNNNNNNNNNNNNNNNNNNNNNNNNNNNNNNNNNNNNNNNNNNNNNNNNNNNNNNNNNNNNNNNNNNNNNNNNNNNNNNNNNNNNNNNNNNNNNNNNNNNNNNNNNNNNNNNNNNNNNNNNNNNNNNNNNNNNNNNNNNNNNNNNNNNNNNNNNNNNNNNNNNNNNNNNNNNNGAAGCACAGUAUAAGUUUAUUUUAAGUUUAGCACUGUUGCUAUGGCCAGAUUGGUGGCUCGAAGGUCUUUGGUCCUUACCUCGGAGAAACGAUAUAAUUACUGUUUAUUUUAAGUUUGGGCAAAUUAAUUUAUAGGUCCUUGAACUAUUGACGUUUUAUUGUCUAGGUCCCUGAACUAAAGAUUCCGUACUUCAGGUCACUUAACUUUUCUAUUUUCUGAUCUAAGUCCUUCCGUCAAAAAGAUUCUAACGGUGUUAACUAGGGUUCUUGAGUUUCAUACAGAUCAAAGCAAUUUUGAAGGUGUUAGUGAUAUCCAAACUCAAAGUUCAAAUAGUCAAAUUGAAGCUUGAAUCACUAGCGACACUCAUAUGACAACAAUUUUCACAAAUUAGAUUUAAUUUUAAAAAACCCCAAAUUUGACCAUAAAUUUAGGGUUCUUUAUCGAAUUUAGUGACCUAAAUUUAUAAAAUUUUAAAUUGAACAUAAUUUUUGAAAAUUGGUGUCAUAUGAGUGUCGCCAGCGACUCAAGCUUCAAUUUGACUACUUGAACUUUGAAUUUGGAUAUCACUAACACCUUCAAAAUUGCUUUGAUCUGUAUGAAACUCAAGAACCCUAGUUAACACUGUUAGAAUCUUUUUGACGGAAGGACUUAGAUCAGAAAACAAAAAAGUUAAGAGACCUGAAAUACGGAAUCUUUAGUUCAGGGACCUAGACAAUAAAACGUCAAUAGUUCAGGGACCUGCAAUUUAAUUUUCCCUUCAAGCUAUAAAGAGUGUUUUUACACCUGAGUAGUAUCCCAUUCUUUGCAGCUAUACGACAGGAAUCGUUCCUUGGGGUUGACCGAUGAAGUUUAAUUACCUGCCCAUUCCAUCAAUUGCCGGAUGAUUUAUUUCCCUGCAAUAUAUGAAUUCUUAAAUUAUGCACCAAAUCAGUAACAGGGGAAAGAUGAAAAACAGAAGCUACUGACAAACAUGCAUCUGGAAUGUCAUAUACAAAAUGUGAAGCACGCCAUAACCGGAAUGACAAUUCAUGCGUAUACAACAUGAAAGAUGAAUGACAUAAGCUCGAUGGCAUUAGAGUUAAAUAGCAAACUCUGGAUUGUUUUUAUAGCAGAAAAAAACUCUCUCAACAAUAGCAAUAACAACGGGUAAACUAGAGCUAACUCAACCAGAAGAUAAACUAAUGGAUAAACAGUGUGUCUGUGUGCCUUAACCAUCAUGACUAGAAAGAUUUCCUAUACUUUGAACUAAAGAUAAAUCUUUAUCCGCUCUCACAUCGUAGAUAAACUUGUCUAACUUAUUUGAUAACAACUCUAGGUCUAGUAAAGAAAUAUCCUUUGGAUAAAAUUGUGCAAGGCAGAAAAUUAAUUCCUAGGAUCCAAAGAGCAAAUAUAAAGUAGUAGCUCUAUGUUUCCUUCUGUAAAACGAUUAUUCAUCUCUUGGGAGAUAAGAUCAAUAAACUGUUAAAUAAAAAGGUUAGUAAACAAGUUUUAUAACACUGAACAUCUUCUAAAACUGUCUCCCAUUCUUUCUCUCUUAAUAGCUGCAAUUUAAUAUUCAUACUUCUAACCAUUGUUAUAGUAUUUGUAAUAUUUCGAGUUCUUUGUUGUAAAGUUUAUGACAAAUCAUUAGUAAUUACGAAGAAAACUUUCAUCAAAAGAACUCCACUGAGUUAGGGUAGUGUCAAUGUGUGCGUAUGACUUAUGAGAGCAUAUCCAAAAGAUUCUUCAAAUGGGCUCUUUAAUUAGCCUAAAUUUGAAGAAUAUGGAGAUGAAAUGAACUCCAACAAGCUCCUAGCAGAUAUAGAUAGAGAGCGCAUGUAGGGAAUAUUGUUGGAGAUAUUGUGUAAUUUACUUCUUAAAUAGUUAAGAGUUGAUUGUUUAUAUUACUUUUAGAGAAAAGUUAAGGAGUUUGUUGGANGAUAUAGAUAGAGAGCGCAUGUAGGGAAUAUUGUUGGAGAUAUUGUGUAAUUUACUUCUUAAAUAGUUAAGAGUUGAUUGAUUAUAUUACUUUUAGAGAAAAGUUAAGGAGUUUGUUGGAGUUGCUCUCAGUUUGAUGUAUUUGUUAAUUAGACUCUCUUUAAGUCCCUCUCUAUGACAUUUAUAGUUCAUCGGGGGCUAAAAAAAAUUAUAGUGACAUCACCUUAAUUCAGCGGGGGCUGAAAAAAAAAUAUACAUUGUUUUUCCGAGGUUGGGGGCUCUAGCAUCCCCUAGCCCUCCUCUGGUUCCGCCACUGCAUGUAUUCAAUGCGUUCAAAUCCAAGUGUAUUCAUCAUUUUAACCCUUAAACCAGAGCACCAAGGAACAAAUACAAGCAUCCAGAGGAGUCACUGCUAAAAAAUUCUAGGCAGUAGCCUUUCACUCAUGUUAGAAUUCAAACCCGUCUCUAAAUAAUAGAUAAUAAAGCAGCUGUACACUGAGGAACAAAGCUCCUGAAAAUAUGGUAGCCGCAGGGCCGGCUUUAACCCUAUGCAGCCCAUGCCAUUGCAUGGGGCCUGCUUGGCAAGGGGGCCCAGUUUUAAACUAGUGCUGCUGGACGUUAGUACUGAAAUAAAGGCAGUGAUGCUGGAAUGUGAAAAAUAAACCGCCCUCCUUACCUCUCUCCCUCUUUGCUUUGUUUUACAACUCUUAUAUCAGUUAUCUAAUAUUUAGAGCUAUUUUCAAAUAAUAAAUUUAGGGCGUGCCUUGCUCGGACUUUUAUACCCGUCUUCUUAAGUUAGAAUUUAUUCGUACCGUUUGUGUGAAAAGUCAAAGACUUAUAUUAAGUUAAGAAUACUUGUUUUUUUUUCAUGACUUAUACUUAUUUCUCAAACACUUUAAUUACUCAUAAAGCUUAACUUGAUUCUAACUUCCGCUUCACUUUUUUACUUUAAGCAGUAAGCACUUAUUUGAAAUUCACCCGAACAACCCUUAAUUAUUAAUACAUGGGGGCCUAUUUUUUUAAUGCUUGCAUAGGGCCUUUUAUUAGUUGGAGCCGGCCUGAUGGUAGGCAAGGUGGCAGUUUUCAUGCAUACUGAUAAAUGAAGCAGAGAAAAUUCCAGGUCUUCUGGGACAUUAAAUGAAAGCAGCUCUGUGUGUGUGAUGCAGCAGCAGUAAUAUUUGACCCAGCUGGUAGAACCUUAUCAACUCCUCAAUAUAUGGUGGCUGGCUGUGGAAAACUAGAGGAUAAUAAAGAAGAAGAUGGCAACAACUGUUGAGCGUAAGGGUCAAGCUCUGAAUCCUACAAAUAAGGUAGGCUGCAUAGAAAUAAGCUCUGAAUCCUACAAAUAAGGUAGGCUACAUAUGUAAGCACUGAUGCAUGAAGUUCAUUUGUAGGCUAUAAAUAAUGCUGUUCAGUUAGUUCUGCAUUACAUCGAGUGAAAUAGAAAGCAAAAGAAAAAAAAAGCCGAAGCUCUCUGAGAAAAGAGAAAGGUUGUAACCUGUCAGUGUAAAAGGCUGUAGCAGUUUGUAAUACUGAGGGGCCGUUUGGGUGGGCUUAAAAUAAGUGCUUCUUGCUUAAAAUAAAUAAGUGGAGUAGAAGUUAGAAGCAAGAUAAGACUUAUAAGUGAUUAAAGUGUUCGGGAAAUAAGUAGAAGUCCUGAAACAAAAGCUAGCAUUCCUAGCUUUUUAUAAGUGCUUCUUGACUUAUUACACAAACGGUACGAAUAAGUGCUCAUAACUUAUAAUCCAGAAGCUGGACUUAUAAGUCCAACCCAAACACCGACUGAGAUAUUAAUAUAUAAAGUGUGUGCUUGUUAUACUGGAAAUUUAGUUUUAUUUUCGUAGAAACCCAUACACGUUUCCAACAACUCAUGCAUUUAAGUUCUGGCUCUGGAUUUCAGUGAAGUUGCCAAGGAAGUGAUUUGAAGUUUCCAGCUCCAUUAUUUUCAAAAAGUAGUAGUAUGAACUUGGACAAUACAGUGAACACGUGAUUAAAGUUUCCAUGCGAGAACGAAGUUUUGAGUGAGAGCUUUCCAUGUUACAAUUUUUUUCUUAUUAAACUAUAACAAACUCUUAGAAUUCUUUUUAACUAUUUUUAUAAUUAAUUCAAUUAAGUUUGAUCAUAUAUGGCAGCAAAGUUUGGUCAUUUUUCAUAUCAUAAAUUUAAUUUUAGUUAAGAAAAUUCACGACGACACGACAUUAAUCAUUUUGUGAAGUUGUUUCCGGCUGAAUUAUAUGAUUAAAAAUCAGAAUAACAAAAACACUUUAGCAGAAAUAAAAGAAUAUGUACAAGGAUAUUCAAACUAUAAAGGAAAUUAACAGUAUGGAAAAGAUGAGAUCAAAAGUGCCGAAAAAGUGAAAAGAAGACAUAAAUAAAGUGAAAAGUGAAAAGCAUUUCAAAGCAAGUGCAUUAUUAUCAGCUGCAAACAUAAACAGUGUACUCACUAUACCUUUCUUCUACUUUGUUUUGAAUCAAUGGCUUUUGUGUUAUAGGAAACGUUGAAAGAAUCAAUCACCGCAUACGCAGAUCUCUCUGCUGCGACUUCUCUUACAUCUGUAACCUUGGGACUUGCCUUGUUCUACGCUAUUUCGAUGAUGUUAGGGUCUUCUGCUCAGCCACAGCAGCAAGUCUCAGCGGUGAAAGACAAGAAUGAAGUUACAACUACUUCAUCACCUCCAUGGGAUGUCUUUUUGAGUUUUCGUGGCAAAGACACUCGCCCAAAUUUCAUUUCACAUCUUCACCAUGCUUUGGAUCAGGCAGGGAUCGUAACCUUCAAAGACGAUCUUGCACUUUCAAAGGGUGAAGAAAUUUCAACACGACUGCGUCAAGCAAUCAGAGAUUCUAAGAUGUUUGUAGUUGUUAUUUCAAAGAACUAUGCUGAUUCGUCGUGGUGCCUUGAUGAGCUUGUAGAGAUCCUCAGUUGCAAGAGAACAAACAAUCAGGUUAUUCCGGUAUUCUACUAUGUUGAUCCAUCAGAUCUACGACACCACAAGGGGAGUUUUGGUGUAGCUCUUAAGAAGCACAAGAAGCGUCACUCUGUUGAUAAGAUUGACAAGUGGAAAUCUGCGCUGACUGAAAUCGCAGCUCUAUCAGGAUACCAUUUGAAAGACGCUAAAGAGUAAGUCCUUUAUGAUGAAUUCUUCUAUUAAUGUUCAGUUAUACUUUCUGUAAACACAGACAUGCUUAGUGAUUAAAGGACUUACGAUGCAACACAUUAUAUAUUAUUUUUAUAAUCAAAAGACUACAACUGUGUAUAAUCUACUAAAAUUAACAGGAGUGAAGCAGAUACAAUUCAAAAUAUUGUUGAGAUCGUAUUGUCACAAGCAUCAACAAAGGUCAUACACCUUGAAAGAUUUUUAUUUGGGAUAAAUCAUGCUGUCGAAGAGAUAUAUGGACAACUAAGCAUGGAGUCAUAUGAUGUUCGUGCCCUUGGAAUAUGCGGAAUGGGUGGAAUUGGGAAAACAACGAUAGCCAAGGCCUUCUACAACAAGUACUCCCACAAAUUUGAUAUAAGUUGUUUCAUGGAAAAUGUAAAACAGAAUUCACAAGGAGCUGGUCCUCCACUUCCUUUACUUCAACAACUCUUGAAAGAGCUUCUCAGAGUGAAGGAUUUGAAGGUCCGUGAUUGUGAAAGUGCACUACGAAAGUUGAGAGAGAUUCUAAGUUCUAACAAAGCUCUCAUUGUUUUUGAUGAUUUGGACCAGUCAAAUUAUUCGGAAUUGGUAGUAAGGAUUUGCAAUCUGUUGUCAGAUGGUAGCAGAAUGAUAAUUACUGCAAGGGAUUUAAACUUGCCAAAUCAACUGAAAGUAGAAAUGUCAAAAGUAGAUACAUAUGUGGUGAAGCCUCUGGAUGAAAUCGAUUCACUAGAGCUCUUUAGCUAUCAUGCCUUUAAAAGAUCAAAGCCUCCCGGAAAAUACUUAGCUCUGUCUAAAAGCUUUGUUACUUAUGCGGGAGGCCUUCCACUAGCUCUAAAGGUGUUGGGUUCAUCUUUGUGCGGUAGGACUGAUGUGUCAUUCUGGAAAGUUA